rnacentral:lncRNA from 1 species
UUUUUUUUUUUUUAUGUGGUUGCUCUUGAUUUUUCAUGGUCAAUAAUGAGAUUAAACAAGAUUUUGUUACAACGAUUGCGGGAAGAUAUAAAAUAAAUGAGAAAAAAUUAUUUUUUAGUCCCUGAGGUAUAGCGUAAUUAAUAGAUUUGUUUCUCUAUUUUUAGAACUCAACACUUUCGUUCUUGAGGUUUAAUUCCGUCAAAAUUCAAGGUCCCUCCAUCAAACUUCAAGGUCUCUCCGUCAAAAAAUUCUGUUAAGUCAAUGAUUUUCACUUGGUUAAUGGAAAGAGAAUAAAUAUAAUCCCAAAAAUACCCUUAUCAAUAAUAAAAUAAGAAAUUACUAUUUAAUUCCUAUAGUAUGAAAAAACUCGCUAUUUAAUCCUUCAAUUUUGAAAAAUAUAUUAAAAUAUCUCUGACAUUUUAAAAAGUCUACUAGUUAGUUCCUAUAUUAAUUUUAUCACUAAAUAUUUUACGAUUUAAUCCCUAUAGUUUAGAAAAAAUUAUUAAUUGGUCCCUCAAAUUAUUAAAAAAUUUACUAAUUAGUCCCUCCAUAUCACGGAUAUUUUAGAUUUUUUUUACAAUACUUAACGACUAAAAUUAAUGGAUAGACUAACUAGUAGACUUUUUAAAAUGUUAGAAAUAUUUUAAUGAAUUUUUCAAAUGGCGAGCAGUGAUCGAUAGCGAAUGACAUCACAAAAGCAAUUUAUAUUGAGUUUUAACUUUUUAUUCUUAAUAAUUUAAAUUUUAUAUAUUUUAAUUUUUAUUAUUUUUACUGAAUUUGAAUUUUAAAUUUAUUGAAAUUUUUAUUUGUUUAUGGAGAUUGAGUUUGAGAUUUUCUUUCUUGAAUUUUGACGAAAUUAAAUUUUAGGGACUAAAGUGUUGAAUUCAAAAAAUAGAGGGACAAAUAUAUUAAUUAUAUAAUAUCUUAGAGACGAAAACAUAUUUUUUUCUUCAAUUCUUUGAGAGAGGGACCUAUAAAUUUGUAGGAAUUAAAUUUCAGGGAUUAAAGUAUUGGAUUCUAGAAAGGGUAGUUCGGUUAUUUUUUCUGUCACUAACGGCAUUUUUUAUGGAGGGACCUCUAAUUUUGACGGAAUUAAAUCUCAGGGACGAAAGUGUUGGGUUCUAAAAAUAGAGGAACGAAUCCAUUAAUUACGCUAUAUCUCAGGGACUAAAAAGUAAUUUUCCCAAUAAAUGAAGAUUAUGGGUUUUGAUGCUUUCAAAUUCUAUAUUUUCUGGUCCAGAGUAAUAUCUAAUUAAUAUGUUUAUUAAAAAGUUAAACUUUUCAAAAUAUGUCGGUUCAUACAAAUAUCAUUAUAUAAAUAUUUAUAAUUCGCUGUUGGAAAUUCUUUUUUACAAUAUUUAAAAAAUAAAAUAGAAUUCCCCUUAUAUCAUAUCAUUUAUAUAUAAUCAUAAUAAUAUUUAGAUCAUAUAUAUAUAUAUAAUUUUAUAAUCUAAAAAUUAUAUGAAAUCGCAAAAUAUCACUUUACAUUGAUGAAAAUUAUUAUUAUUAUUAUUUUUAAUUUAAAAUUUAAAUGGGUUUUUUCAAUGAAGUACAAAAUUUUAUUUUUUUAGACUUUUUAACUAUUGGGCUCAAUUAUUGAUGGAUUAUUUCAUUCAUUUGCUAUAUAUAUAUUUUAAUUUUGAACAUUGAUCAGGUGGAAGGAGACCCGACAGAGUGAACAAGCAUGAAAUUCAAUUUUACAAUGAUGUUGCGAGAAUUAUCUCCUUUAUCAUUAGAGUAUUCAAAUUAGUAAAUUGAUAAUAAGUACCUAAACUCACUAUAUUUUUUUUAUAUUAAUUUUUUUAAUUUUGUUAUGUUAUUUUUAAUAAAAAAUAUUUUUUAUUAAAAUUUUUAUUUUAAACAAAUUUAAAGUUGAAAGUGUUAAAAAAAUUAGUAGAUGAUAUUUUAGAUAUAUUUUGAACCAACGCCUUAUUUAAGGCCGUAACUCAAACUCAAUGAAUAAAUAGCUGAGUUUCAUGACUUCAAAAAAAAUAUAGCUGAGUUUCAGUUCAGUUAUAUAGAAUUUAAAUUAUUUCAGAUAAUUAUAAAUACAAUCAAAUUAAAUAUUAAAAUAAAAAUAAUAAAAUUAUUUAUUAAUUUAUUUUUUUUAAAUUUAAUAUCUUCUUUACCUUUUAUCAGAAAAAGACCUAUAUAAAUUAUUAUUUUAGAAGUAAUAAGAUAUCUCUUAAUUCAUCUCUUCCUUCUGCAUAUGUCUCCUCAUUUUCCUUUUUCUUUAUCUUUCGAUUUCUUCAUCCUUUUAAGUUGAAUUGAAUUGAAUUUAUAUUUAUUUUAUUUUUUAUUUUUUAUUUUUUAUAAUGACUUUUAAUAGUUAAUUUAUUUUUUAAUUGAAUAUUAAUCUAAUUAAGAUUUUAAUUAAGUUAUGAGAUCUAAUUUCAUUUUCUUCAUCUUAAAUUAUAUUUUUAUUUUUUUAAAAAAACAAUACUUCUAUAGUCUAUUGAAUAUCCUAAUUAAAUAAUACAUUAUUAAGUAACUCAAAUAAAUAUAUAAUUAUUUAAUUAAAUAUUAAUCUAGUUAAAAUUUUAAUUAAGUUGUGAGAUCUAAUUUCAUUUUCUGUUCAUCUUAAAUUUUAUUUUUAUUUUUUUUAGAUACAAUACUUCUAUAGUCUAUUGGAUAUCCUAAUUAAAUAAUAUAUUAUUAAUUAACUCAAAUAAAUAUAUAAUUAUUUAAUUGAAUUAAUAUAAAUAACAAUUAGGAUAUCUUUUUAUUUUGAGAAAUUGAGUGAUUUUUUAAUGUGAUUAAUUAAUUAAAUUUAUAUGCUUAUUAGAGUUAUUAAUUAAUUAAAAAUUAAUUUAACACUUUACAAAUUAAUUUAAUCUUAUGAAAGAAUUAAUAGAAUUUACUUAUUUAAAUACUUUUAAUUAAUCGUUUGUUUUAUCAUUUUAUUGCACUUAUUUUACUCCUCCUUAAAUUUUUCUAAAAUUAAAUUUUUAAUUGAAAUUUCUUUGGUCUCUUUUAUUUUAAUAAUUUUUUUCUUUUCUUUAUCGUUUAAUAUUUAAAUUAAAUAAAUAUAAAGUAGAUCAAUACACCUUAUUUAUAAAAAUUAUUAAAUUGAAAAGAAAAAUCAAUUAUAUAAUUAGCGAAUUCUAUCCCAUUCCAUGAAUAGAAAAUUUAGACCUUUAAAUAUUUAGAAAACAUUCAAAAUGGAAAAAAUCUUAUAUUUACCCUUAAACUUUCAGUGAAGGCUCAAUUUUAACCAAAAUAAAAAUUCAUUCCCAAUUGAACCAAAGAUUUUCAAUUCAACUCAAAUAUACCCAACUUCUUAUAAAUCUAUGUGCGUGUGAGUUUCACUCCGCUGUAAAUAUUAAAAAAUUACAAUUGUUUAAUGUUAAUAAUGUAUCUUCCCAUAUUUAUCAAAUUACUAUCAAACACAAGCUUCUCUAUCAACAGUGGUUGAGCCAGGAGCUUCCCUUUGGUAGUACACCGGCUGCGCCGCUGCGGUACCUUCAUCCCCUUCAAAACAUUUUCCGAUCGCCGGUACGGCACGUACCCCUUGCCGUACCUUUCCUCCGCCACUGUCUAUCAACCCUUCUUUGAUCAUAUUUUCCGCUGCCUCUUUGUAACUAAAAUACUCAAUUUCAGUAAUGCAAUCCAUUAUUAGAACCCAAGUUGCAGGUCUUAAUAAUUCAAGAAAAUAGGGAUUUUGGGUAUUUCUCAAUUAAAAUCGAUUUCAUCUGCCAUGAGUGACUUAAUUAGUAUGAUAAAUGUACAAAGUACUUUCUUUGGUUUCCAGGAAGCAAUUGACAUGAGCAUGAAUCAGAGGAACCAUUAGAACUUGACCCGUGAAAACAUCUUUGUUGAAUUAAAUUAAAGAUGUCAUAACAAAAGCACAAUGUUCUUGAAAUUUCUUAAAGCAAUUCGGACAAUAGAUGAUUUUUUUUAAUAAAAGAAUUUUGGAUUUAAGAACCAAAAUGUAGGAAAGACGUUUCUCAAGGUGAGUUAAAAAACUUCGUAACUCAUUCUGGUUGUUGCAAUAACUUAAUCUUUUUAUUUUUAAAUAAAAAAAAUAUUUAUAUAAAUCUCUUUAAUUAUUAAAUAAUAAAACAAUUAAAAACAUUAUCAAUUUCAUACAACUUUUUUUUUCCAAUUCUACUUUAGAAUCUCUUUAUUUUAAAAAAUAGAUUUAAUUCGGUAUUUCCAAAACCUUUAUUCUAAGUUAGCUCAGGUCCCUAUCUUGUUCAUCAAUUAAUUCUUCUCUUACUGGUUAUUGUUUCAUCCUUUUGCAGCUGCAUCGAUUCUAAAAAUAUAAAUUAUAUUUUUAUUGGACUAAAUAAUUAUUUUUAUUCUACAAGUUCAUAAUUAAAUUAUACCAACAUCUAAUUUAAACUAAAUGUUCAUUAUUUUUAUCAUAUAAAAUUUAACUUUGAUUUAAAUUUAUAAUAUAGUUUUAUUUUUUCAUCCAUCUUAUUGUUAAUAAAAUAAAAAAAUAAAAAAAAUUAACUAUUUAAUUCAUAUGAUAUAAUAAAAUUCAAUAAUUAAAUUUUUUAUUUAAAAAAAUAUUAAAACAUCAAGUCUACUAAUUAAUUUAUUUAUUAAUUUUAAUCAUUAAAUAUUAUAAAAAUAUUUAAAUUUAUAAUAUAAAGAAAUUAAAUUAAUAAAAUUUUUAAAAUUAUAAAAAUUAAAUUUAAUUAAUUAAUAUUUUAAAAUAUCAAAAAUAUUUUAAUAUAAUUUUUAAAAUAAAAUAAUUAAUCAAUUUUAUUAAAUUAUAGAAAUUAAACAGUAAUUUUUUAAUAAAUAAAUACGUAAAAGGGGAGACAAAUUUUGAUGCUGUUGCGACUUGAGGUUGAAGGAUUCUUUCCUCAAUUGGAAUUCACACAGAAGUCACGUGAUGAAAGUGAAAAGAUAUAAUUUUGAUGUGAUAGUUUGGGAUUUUUAGGUGGUCCAAAUGAAUGUUUCCACCCCAAUUAAAAUUAAAAUAAUAUAAUCAUCAUUUAAAGAAAUUUAAAAGAGAUGCAUUCCGCCAGUCAAAAGAGUAAAAAAAAUAUUAUAAUAAUAAUAACUUAACUAUUAAGGUAUGGAGAUUAAAUUUUAAAAUAAUAAAAUUAUGUUUAAUGAAAAUUAAAUCAAUCUAUAUUUAUUGGAGAGAGGGAUAUAACAUAUAAAUUUAAUUUCCACAAACUAUAAAUUUUUUUCUUCAUCGAUUUAUUUUAUAAAAAAAUUUAUUAGAAAAAAAAAGAAUGAUAUAAAUUUUAAAUGGCAUACUACGUGUAAAAAAGAUUCAACUCCAAUUAAGGCUACAAUUAUACCAAAUGAAAAGCUUAGGAUAACAUAUUUUAAAUUAAAAUGUAAAAAUAAAUAAAUUUUAGAAUUUAAAAAAUGUGAUAUGAAAUACAUAUUUUCCUCUGUGGUUCUUAUAUGUCUCGAUACUCUCAUUUUUUUCUUUUUUUUAAACAUAACUCCUUUUUCUUUCUUAUAAAAAAUGAUCUACGUCAAUUGACUAUUAAUUAAAAAAAAGAUGUUGUUGUCUUUAUUAAGAGUUAUAGAGAUAUUCUGAUCGUCGCUUAUAAUUUCUGUAUGAUGGAGAUGUUUCUCACAUACAAUUCAAUCAAUUUUCAGGAUAUGCAGACAUUUUUUGUAGAUUUAUGGCAUCUUUUAGAGGGGUAUCUAUUAUGAAAUUAGAAGCAAAAAGAUAUUUGUUUUGAUUUUUUAACAAUGUUAAUUUUUCUUCAGAUAUUUCUAAUCACACCACUGCGAAUGUUAAUUUGACAAGUAAAAAUGAAGCGGCUCAUCCCGUCAAAGGUCGGGAUAGCCGAAAGCAAUUAUCGUCUUGUGUUGUAACUGCCGAGGACUCGGCAAUUCUCGGACAGGUAAUACAUUGAAGGAUUUGGUUACUAGUUAUAAGCCGGACAUUUUAUUUUUGAUGGAAACCAAAGUUUUAGUUUUCCGUUGCUAUUUGCUCUUUGCGACGAAAUUUUUACUUUUUAAUGGCUGCAUUCUUAUGGACUAUUUGCAAGUGGUUCAAUCUAUUUAAUCUCCACAUUUAGAUAUUUUUGAACUAGAUUUGAUUUUGAAUGAUUGUAAAUUUUUGUUAGACCCUAGAACUCAUAUUUUUAUUAGAUGUAUUCGUCGUCAUGCCACUCUAACUGCUUAUAUUUUGAUUAGAGAAUCUAUUAGAUAUGAUCGUUUGUGAUGAUAUCUCUUUUUAUUUAAUAAAAUUUUAUUAAUAUAAUAAAUAAUUUUACUUUAAAAAAAAUUGAUAUGAAACAGUACACUCGUUAGGGAAAUAACGUUAAAUUUUUUGGAAUUUGAAAAAUCAUUUUGAAAAGAAAAAUAAAAGAUAAAAAAAGCUAUCUCCUAACAAUUAGGGAAAGCAACUUACAAUCGUUAUAAUAUAUUUUGGGAAUAAAAAGGUUUAAAAUUAAAAGAUUAUAUGUAAAAAAAGACCCUUCAUCCUUGCUCUUUGGAUUCCCCUUCUUAUAUUUUAGCUUUAGUAAUUUUCCUUGAUUUCAAAAGUUUAUGACAAGUUGAAAAAAAAGUUUAUUACAAGUUUGUUAUUUAAAUUGAUGAAAAAAUAAUUCUAUCAUAUAUUUAACUAAAACCAUUGAAAAUUAAUUACUUAUAGUAAUAUGCAUAAAUUUUAUAAUCUAAAAGUUUUUAACGGUGAUUACAUAAUAAUUUACAGUAUUAUUAUUUAUUAUAUUAAUAUUUUGAGAUUCAGAAAAUAAGAUUUACAAUGAUUGUCUAAAUUCAAUCGGAAAAGAAAUUCUUCUUCCCCUUUUAUCCCUUUUAUUUUUGUGUGAUAUUUAACCAUGUCUCUGUCACUCAGUUCCAUAUCUAUGGGUGUGUCAGAAUACUUCUUCAUGGCUAUUUAAUUUUCUCUGACGUGCAUGCGGAUAGAACUGCGAGGUGACUGGCUUGCUCCCUUACCUCUUGUCACAUUACCCGACUAGACUUUCUACAUAUAGACCUGCGCGGGUAACUUGUUCGGCUUAUCUUUUAUUACCGCGUUAGGGCGUGCUACAUAGGGCUAGUUUAUUUUGAAAAAGACUCGGUGGACUUGAGCCCGUAUUCUUUUUUAAAGUAUGAUUUUAUCCCAAACAUUAAAAAUCCAGGCAUCAUCAUAUAUUAUAUUUUUUUUAUUGGUGAAAAUUACUCCUUAUCCUUAGCUCUUGGAUUCCCCUCCUUUAAGAUGGCUUACAUGAAACACUUGAGGGUUCAAAGUAUUUUAGUAAUUUUUUAAUCACAAUUUGAUUUUUUUUAAUGAUAAAGAGAUGGAAUUAAUAUAUUAAAUUUGAGAGCUUUUAAAGAUCUAUUAAAUUUAUUCAGAUCUAUUAAAUUUAUUCAGAAUUAGGCUGAUUAAUUUACCAUUCCCAAAUUAAAUUUGUGAGUUUAAAUUAUUAUUAUUUAAUUUUUAAAAAUAAAAUCAAUAUUUUAAUUAAUUGUAUGUGCACUAUAUACUAUAAUAAAAUUUUUAGAUUCAAAAUUGGGGAUAAAUAUAUCAUUUUGAUUUUUUUAUUAAUUUCAUUAAUUACAAAUGCAGAUAAAAUAUGAAAUUUUAUUUUUCAUUAAAUUCAUUAGUGGGACAUUUUGCAAUUUUGUAGUACAAUUAUUAGAAAGUUGGAAAUUUCUAAAGAGAUUAAUCUUGUCCCAGAUAAAGAAGACAAAAAAGAAAUGUACUCUUGUAGAAGAUCUUGUGGUUGUAGGUCCCAUGUCAUUUUUUAGUGGGCCAUCCUUGUUCUCAAUGCAAAUUUUUUCUUCCUUUCGGAAUUGUGAUCAGGAAGUUUUAUAAAUUUUUUUAAAAAAAAUGUAAAAACUGAAGUGUGAAAAUUAUUUAAUUAUUUUAAAAUUUUAAAUAUUUUUGAAUUUAAGUGUUUAAAAGUAGUAUUUUUUUAAAAAUUUAGGUGAUUAUUAUGUCUCAAAUAGAAUUAAGAUAUUUUAUAGAUAAAAAUAAUAAAAUACAUAUGUAAGUACCCAUUUGGUUUAUUCUUAAUUAAUAUGAUUAAAAUAUUUAUUAUUUUAUUAUUAAAAAUAUAUUAAAUAAAUAAAAUAAUUUUUAAUUUAAUAAAUUAUUUUUUAUUUAUAUAUCAUAAUAUAAUUAGUAGGAAAUAUUAUCUCAAUAUGUCACGUGUACUCUGGCAUAGUGUAUUGUAUAAUUUUUCUAAUAAAGGAUAAGCUAAAAAAUAAUUUGUAAAAAUUACCAUUUCGAAUAUUGAAGAAUAAUCUAUUUCAGGUAAAUUGGAAUAUGACUCCAUGUAUACGUAAGAACGUAGCACGUCAUGAAGGAUUAAUUUUUCUCUUUGUCAAAAGAAAAAAGUGGGCCAACCUCUGUGGAAUCUUGCUUUGGCUUUAAUGCAUGCAAUUAAUUACGUUAGCACGAACUCUAUAUAAAGGGCAUUGCCAUGAGAAGUGGAAACCACACAACCACUUGAAAAUCUUAACACCAUCAACAUGGCUUUGGCUUUCAAACACUCUCUUCUUCUGGGGAUGCUCGUCUUCCUCAUAGCCCUGUUGACUCUUACUGAGCCAGCAAUGGCUGAUGAUGUUGAUGCUGUCCCUGAUGACUUUAACCGUACUUAUUUUCCAGAUGAUUUCAUUUUUGGAACAGCCACAUCUUCUUAUCAGGUAUAUUCAGACCUUCAUUUUUAUCUAUGCUCUCCCAUUAUCUAUUUGUUCCCUAGUUUGCAUUAUUUGCUUUGCUUCUUUUUUCUGUUUAUCAAGUUUGCUUAAAAUAAAUAAUAUAAUAAGAUCCAAUUUUACAUUAGAUCGAAGGUUCAACAAACAUAUCUGGUAGAGCACCUAGUGUCUGGGACAUAUUUACUCAUGAAUAUCCAGGUAUGAUCAUGUGCAUAUCGACAUAUUAUAUACAUAUACAAAAUAUUAAUUAUUUUUAUAUAAUUUUGCAGAGAGGAUAAAGGACAACAGUACCGGAGAUAUUGCAGUUGAUUUUUACAAUCGAUAUAAAGUAUAUAAUAGCUAAACUUUUAUCUAUUUUCUACAAAAAUCUUGUUCAUCGUUAAUAAUGAAAUUAAAAAAAAUUGUAAAAUUGAUAUUGCAGGAGGAUAUCAAAAACGUGAAAGAUAUGCAUUUUAAUGCUUUCAGAUUUUCAAUUUCAUGGUCUAGAGUUAUACCUAGUAAGUAUUUUAUCAAGUCUAAAUUUACUUAAUAUAUAUUCGCUUCAUAUAAAUUUUAUUAUCUCGUACAUUUAUAAUUUUAUACAUUCUCACACUUGUUUAUAAUAUUAAUUUUAAAUAUUCAGGUGGAAGAAGAGAUGAAGGAGUGAACGAGGAGGGGAUAAAAUUCUAUGAUAAUGUUAUCAAUGAAGUUGUAAAUAAUGGUGAAGAUCAUCUUCUUUUCGUCCCUUCAUGAAGUCAUAUAUUAUUACAACAAAUUUCUAAAUUUUCUUUUUGUUGCAAAAAAAUUCAGGGCUUAUACCAUUUGUUACCAUUUUUCAUUGGGAUACUCCUCAAGCUCUAGAGGAUAAAUAUGGUGGCUUUUUAAGUCGUAAUAUCGUGUAAGUAUACACCCUCAACUAAUAUUUUCAAAUCAUCAAAUGAGAAACUUUUGUAUCAAUUUUUUCAAUAUAAUAUUCUUAUAUAAAUUACAAAAUAACUUACUAAAAAAAUUACAUAAUGCAUAGGGAUGAUUACCGUGAUUAUGCGGAGCUUCUCUUUGAAAGAUUUGGUAGUCGAGUGAAAUUUUGGAUGACUUUCAAUGAACCAUGGGCUCUCAGUGGAUUUGCUUAUGAUGAUGGACUUUUUGCUCCUGGUCGAUGUUCAUCUUGGGUGAAUCGUCAAUGCCGUGCUGGAAAUUCAGCUACUGAACCUUAUAUAGUUGCACAUCAUCUACUCCUUGCACAUUCUGCAGCGGUUAAUUUAUAUAGAGAAAAGUAUCAGGUUUGUAAUUUUUAUAUAUACAUACACACAUAUGUAGUUCCUUUGUCAAGCAUAAAUAUAUCUGGAUUAAUUUGACAUUCUUAUUAUAUUGAUUAUAUAGAAAUCUCAAACUGGCGAGAUAAAUGGCAAAAUUGGAAUAACGCUCUUUACCUUUUGGUUCGAACCAUUAUCGAAUAGAUCAAUUGAUAUAGAAGCAUCCAGGACAGCACUCGAUUUUAUGUUUGGAUUGUAAGUAUUUCAUUCAAACUAAUUUAGUAAUUAAUUAAGCUUAUGUACCAAAGCAUGUGAAUAAUACACAUAAUUUCUCCAUAUUUUUCAGGUGGAUGGAUCCUUUAACUUAUGGUCGUUAUCCAAGACGUGUGCAGGAGUUAGUUGGAGAUAGAUUGCUUAAUUUUACUGAUAAAGAAACUGAGAUGCUUAGAAAAUCAUAUGAUUUUCUUGGAUUACAAUAUUAUACUUCAUAUUAUGCAAAACCAAAUGCUCCAAUUGAUCCAAAUUAUAUUAGAUACAAAACUGAUAGUCGAACCACCGUAACCGGUAAGUUUAUUUAGAAAUGUGAUAAAUUAAUGGUAGAAAGGAUAUAUAUAUAUAUAUUAAUGGGUUGAUAAGAGUCCUUUUUGAAGUGUGUUUUCAUUAAUAACUUUUUUUUUUCUUUUCCUUGCAGCUUAUGACUAUGAAGGUAAACCAAUCGGUCCACCGGUAAGUGUGUAUUAAAAUGAAAUUAAGUAUAAAAAAAGAAGAAAAUUGCACAGAUGAUAUCACUGACAUAAAAUUAAAAAUUUACAGGCUUACUCACCAUGGUUUUACAUUUUUCCAAAAGGCAUUCGACAUCUUUUGAAUUAUACCAAAGAUACAUAUCAGGAUCCAAUCAUUUAUAUUACUGAGAAUGGUAAGUAGUUUAUCCUUUCUCUCGUAACAUUACUGGCGAGCUAUACACAUUUAUAUUUUGCUUCUAUUUAUUUAAUUAAGUUUUCCACAUAUUAAUUCAGGGGUUGAUAGAUACAAUAACGAAAGUCGAACUCCGGAGGAAGUGAGAAAUGAUACAUUUAGGAUAAACUAUUAUAAAGAGCACAUGUGGCAUGCACUGGGAUCCCUCAAGUGAGUCUAAACUUCAAUAUUCUAAUAUAAAGUUUUUUUUAUAGUUCUUAAUCGAGUUUCCUAAUAAAAGUUGGUUUUGAUAGGAAUUACAAUGUUAGUCUGAAAGGUUACUUCGCAUGGUCAUAUUUGGAUAAUUUCGAAUGGAAUAUUGGAUAUACUUCAAGAUUUGGUUUGUACUAUGUUGACUAUCAAAAUAACUUGACAAGAUCACCCAAAAAUUCAGCUAACUGGUUCAAGCAUGAGUUCCUGAUAAAACCCAAGAGUUCUUCAAAGGAUUCAAGGAAAGUUGGCAGAUACUACAUAAUGUAGUUUGUACUGAGGUGCGCCAAAAUGAGCUGUGGCUUGUGUGUGUGUCUUGCAAUGAAAUAAUAUGAUUGGGCUACUUCUUAGCUCCAAUGACAUAGCUUGUGUGGUAAUAGUUUUGUGUGUCUUUGUCUAGCAAUUAAAUAAUAUCAUUGAGCUUACUGUUAAGCUCCAAUGUUGACAUGGGUUGUUUUGUAAUAGAUUUUUGAAAUGAACGAAGAGUGUUUAUCUCUUCCAGGAAUUCUAAACUUUGAGAAUUUUUAUUAAUAUUAUUGGUUUUUGUAUGCAUAUAUCUUAUUAAUAUAUUUUUUUUGUACCCUGCUUAUACUAUCUAACUGCAAUAAUUAAAGUUAGGGGAUUUUUCUUAAAAAAAAAAAGAAGUAGGGUAUUUAACUUUUUUUUUUUUAAUUUGCCCAUUUUAACUGUUNNNNNNNNNNNNNNNNNNNNNNNNNNNNNNNNNNNNNNNNNNNNNNNNNNNNNNNNNNNNNNNNNNNNNNNNNNNNNNNNNNNNNNNNNNNNNNNNNNNNNNNNNNNNNNNNNNNNNNNNNNNNNNNNNNNNNNNNNNNNNNNNNNNNNNNNNNNNNNNNNNNNNNNNNNNNNNNNNNNNNNNNNNNNNNNNNNNNNNNNNNNNNNNNNNNNNNNNNNNNNNNNNNNNNNNNNNAAAAAAAAAAAAAAAAAGUAAAUGUUUAAAAGGAAAAGUACAGAAUGUGUACCCUACUAAUUUUCUCCCAUUUCUAGUUUCAUGAGCCGGUCUGCACCAACUUUUUUUUUUCCAGGAAAAAAAAAACAUUUGUAUUACGUUAUUGCAAUGUGCAGCAAAAUUUAAUUACAGUAAAGAAAGUAAAUCUGAUAUUUAAUACUGCUGUCAAUCCGGCAAUAAUAAAUUUUAUAGCCAAAAUUUAAUUAUUAUAUUUACCGUAGUAUUUAUAUGACGAGAAAUUUAUUAAAAAAAAUAUUUUAAAGAUUAGAGUAAAUAUCAAGAAUAAGUAGAAUUAAAACUUUAAUAUUCUACAUGAUCGAGACGAAGAACCAUAAAGAGUAUUAUAGACGAUAAUAAAAAUAUAUAGUGUUUAGAAUAUAUUUAUUCAUGAAUAUCUAAAUAUAAUAUGCAUAUCGAUAUAUUAUAUACUUGCACAAAAUAUUAAUUAUUUUUAUGUAAUUUUAUUUGAGAUAUUGCGGUUGAUUUUUAGAAUCGAAUUAUUAAGCUUUUUUUAAUUUUUAAAACUAAAUCUUUAUUGUCUGUUAGAAAAAAAAUUAAAUGAAAUUGUGAAAUUGAUAUUAUAUAUAAGAAGAUAUGAGAAACGUGAAGAAUAUAGGUGUUGAAGCUUUCAGAUUUUUAAUUUCAUAGUUUAGAGUUAUAUCUAGUAAGUAUUUUAUCAACAUAUAUUGGCUUCAUAUAUAGGAUUUUACUAACUCAUAUAUUUAUAAUUUUAUAUAUUCUCACACUUCACUAUUUCAUAAGCAUAAAUUUAAACAACUACAUUUAAUUAAUUACUAGCUUACUUACAUCAUCUUUUAAAUUCUUAAUUUUCAUCAAGUCUUCGUCUCUUCAUGAAGUCAUAUUAUUACAUCAAAUUUCUAAUUUUUCUUUUUGUUGCAAAAUUAAUUCAGAGCUUACACCAUUUGUUAUAAUUUUUUAUUGGAAUACUCCUCAAUCUCUAAAAGACAAAUAUGGUGACUUUUUAAGUCGUAAUAUCAUGCAAGUAUAUAGUCUCAACUAAUAUUUUCAAACUAUCAAAAGAGAAACUUAUGUAUUUUUCAAUAUAUUAUUCUCAUCUAUCUAAUAAAAUAACUUAUUAAAAACUUGCAUAAUCUACAGGGAUGAUUACCGUGAUUAUGCGGAUCUUCUCUUUGAAAAUUUUAGUAUUUGAGUAAAGUUUUGGAUGACAUUUAAUGAACCAUGAGCUCUUAGUGGAUUUGCUUAUAAUGAUAGAUUUUUUACUCUCGGUCGAUGUUCAUCUUGGGUAAAUCGUCAAUAUCGUGCUGGAAAUUCAACUACCGAUCCUUAUAUAGUUGUAUAUCAUAUACUCCUUGCACAUUCCGCAGCCAUUAAUUUAUAUAGAGAAAAGUAGACGUUUGUAUUUUUUUGGAUAUACAUACACACAAAUGUAGUUUCUUUGUCAAGUAUAAAUAUAUCUAGAUUAAUUUGACAUUCUUAUUAUAUUGGUUAAUUUGAUAGCUCAAAUUGGUUGGAUGAAUGGUAAGAUUGGGAUAACAAUCUUACCUUAUGGUUCGAACCAUUAUCUAAUAGAUCAAUUGAUAUAGAAGCAUCUAGGACAACACUUGAUUUUAUGUUUGGAUCGUAAGUCUUUCAUUCAAACUAAUCUAGUAAUUUAUUAAGCUUAUAUACUAAAGCAUGUGAAUAAUACAUGUAAUUUCUCCAUAUUUUUCAAGUGGAUGGAUCCUUUAACUUAUGAUCGUUAUGCAAGACGUGUGCAGGAGUUAGAUGGCCAUAGAUAGCUUAAUUUUACUGAUAAAGAAACUCAAAUGCUUAGAAAAUCAUAUGAUUUUCUUCGAUUAUAAUUUUACACUUAAUCGUAUGCAAAACCAAAUGCUUCAAUUGAUCCAGAUCAUGUUAGAUACAAAACUGAUAGUGGUACUACUAUAAUCGGUAAGCUCAUUCAGAAAUGUGAUACAUUAAAAGUAGAAAAAAUAUAUAUGUGGGUUGAUAUAAGAAUCCUUUUUAAAAAAGUUUUCAUUUAUAACAUGGUUUUUUUUCCUUACCGCUUAUGACUAUAAUGGUAACCCGAUUAGUCCACAAGUAAGUGUGUAUUAAAAUGAAAUUUAGUAUAAUAAAAAGAACUGCACAUUUAUGAAUGAUAUCAUUGACAUAAAAAUAAAAAUUUAUAGGCGUACUCACCUUGGUUUUACAUUUUUCCAAAAUGCAUUUGACAUUUUUUGAACUAUACCAAAAAUACAUAUGAGAAUCUAAUAAUUUACAUUACUGAGAAUGGUAAAUAGUUUAUUCCUUUUGUUAUUGCAUUACUAGCGAGCUAUUCCCAUUAAUAUCGUGCUCCUACUUAUUUAAGUUUUCCAUGUUAAUUUAGGGGUCGAUAGAUACAAUAAUAAAAGUCUAACUCCUGAGCAAGUGAGAAAUGAUAUAUUUAGGAUCAACUAUUUUCGAGAGCACAUGUGGCAUGCAUUGGGAUCCCUCAAUUGAGUCUAAACUCCAAUAUACUAAUAUCAAGUUUUUUUUAAAUCAUUCUUAAUUAAUUUUUCUAAUAAAAAUUGGUUUUGGUGGGCAAUACAAUGUUAAUUUUAAAAGUUAUUUUGCAUGGUCAUAUUUGGACAAUUUUGAGUGGAAUAUCGGUUAUACUUCGAAAUUUAGUUUGUACUAUAUUGACUUGACACGAAGCAACUAGUCUAAGAUUUUACAACAGACUUGGAUCAGACUUAACUUUUGCUAUUGACGUCCUAUGAAGACCCACGAUAGCUUUUCGAAAAGAAAAUUUCAAGACGCAUGGCUUUCAAAAGUGUGACGAGAGUCGUAGGUUUUGUCACAAAAUUCGAUAUGAAAAUUCAUUCAAUUUUGUAUUUUAAUUAUUUUUUAAAAUAAUUUAAUAAUUUUGCAUAUUAAAAUUUUUUUCUAUUAUAAAUAGCCUUUCUUGACUACUAAAAACACACUUUUCAAUCUCUAAAGAAUUUCAACAAGACUGUUCGUCUUUAAACCUAUUUUUUCUCUUAUAUCAUUUUAGUCAAACAAUAUUAGUUAAAAUUUCUGACGAAAUCUAAUUAAUCCUUUAUCAUGACUAUCAUGAUAACUUGAAAAGAUUACCCAAAGAUUCCACUAAUUGGUUCAAGGAUAAGUUCCAGCCCUUGGAGGAUUACUUUAAAGGAUUCAAGGAAAGUUGGCAAAUACUACAAAAUGUAGUCUAGGUUGAGGUGCCAAAAUUAAAGAGAUAUGGCUUGUGUGUGUCUUGCAAUGAAAUAAUAUGACUGGGCUACUUCUUAGCUCCAAUGACAUAGCUUGUGUGGUAAUAGUUUUGUGUGUAUCUAGCAAUUAAAUAAAUAUCGUUGGCUUACUGUUAAGCUCCCAUGACAUAGGUUGUGUUGUAAUCAAGUGAGCAGUAUUCAGUUCAAAUCGAAAAAAUCAAUUGAAUUAAAUUAAUUUAAAAUUUUAUUUUGUUUUUUUAUUCAUUUUGGUUUGAUUUGAUUUUUAAUUUCAAAAUUUUUUAUUAUUUUGAUUCAGUUUGAUUUUUAUCAGAAAAAAAUUAAAAAAAUCGAAUAAAACCGAUUAGUGAUAAUAGUAUAUUAUUUUCAAUAAUAUAGAGAGAUUAUAUCAUAUUAAAAUAUUACAAUUAAAUUUUAAUAUACUAAAAAUAAAGUGUAAAAAAUAAAAAAAUUAUUAAAAAUUUAAAUCGAUCAAACCAAAUUGAAUCGAACCGAAUCAGAUCGAUCAGUUUGAUUUGAUUUUUAAUCAAAAUCAAUUCGAUUUGAUUUUUAUAAAUAUUAAAAUUUUAAUUUUUAAUUUAUUCGAUUCGAUUUUAAAUUAAGCAGACUGAAUAUUCUGCUCUGAUAAUAGAUUUUGAAAUGUAAUAUGAAUAUUUAUACGUAUUUUGAGAAUUUUAUUAAUAUUAUUGGACUUUAUAUACAUGAAUUUUAUUAAUGCUUUUUUUUUUUUUAAUUGUUUCUUUUUAUAUAUAGAAAUGAGCUUUUUAAAUAACCGUAAUUCGAUGAUUAUAAAAAAUAUUGUGAAAUCCGCUUGUAUUAUAAUCAUAUAUAUUUCUAAUUUAGCGAUAAAUAUAUUUUAUUUUAAAAGAAUAAAAAAAUAUUUAGAGAGUAAAAGAGAAAAUUAAUAUAUUUUUAAAAAGAAGAAUGUCUUUUUCUUUUUAAAAUAAGUUCUAGCUUUGAGAAUUUGAUUCAUAUUUGACUCUAUUUAUAUAAAUCUUAUUAACACUCUUUCUGUUUUUUUAACAUUGCAACCAUACAGUUAAAAUGAAUUAUUUUCUUAAAAAAUGAUAUACUUUAAAAUUAUUUUUUUAAAUACAAUUAUUAAAAUACUAGUAAACGUUAUUUAUAUGAAUUCAAAUCUAAAUACUUCUAUGGUAUAUAUAUAGAGUAUAAAUAAUAUUUUUUUUAUUAAUUUAAUUUACAAAUCAAAUUUUAAUUUACAAAUCAAAUAAUAUUUUUAGUAUAAAUAGGAUUGUCAUAUUAAUCCUUGAUUUGUGAAUUGUAAUGAGUGAUGAAUUAUCAUUUUGAAUUGAAUGAAUUUAAAUUGAGUUUAUAAAAUUCAUUAAUGCAUAUAAUUAAAAUAUCCAAUACUACUAAAUUAUAUUUUAGCUCAUUAGUUAAUUACUUAACUUUUUUACUUUUAAAUAUAAAAUCAUUUCACUUCAAAAAAAAAAAAAGUAUUUAUAUAUUUAUAAUAAAAAACAAAUUUGAAAACAUAAUCAUCAGACAAAAACUUUUUCUUUUUCCUUCUUCUUCGACUUUAGCAAUCUCAUUAUUGAGAAAAGGGUUAAUUCUGUAUUCCAAAACCUUUAGUCUAAGCUUAUCUCAGAUCCCAAUCUUGUUCAUUAAUCAAUUCUUGCCUUACUUGUUAUUGGUUCAUCAAUUAAUUCUUGCAUAUCGAUUUCACUUUAAAAAAAUAUAUAAAUUAGAUUUAAAUUCGAUUUGUUUCUGUUUUGCAGAAUUAUUUUUUUUAUUUUCUGCCUAUUUAAGAAAAUUAAUAAAAAAAUAUUUUUAUUAAUAUUCUUUCCUUAAUUGGAAUUGAUACAAAAGUUUCAUGAUGAAAGUAAAUAGAUUUAUUUUUUGAUGUGAUAGUUUGAGAUUUUAGGUGGUCCAAGUGAAUGUUGCCACCUUUAUUAAUAUUAAAAUUAAAAUAAUAAUCAUCAUGCAAAGAAAUUAAAGGCGGUGCGCUGGGUCCCCUCAAAAGAAAAUAAAUUGAAAAUCGGUGCUAUUUAAAUUGAUUUUUUAUAUUCAAUUUAAGAUUUAAUAAAUUUAAUGUAAAAUGUAAAGUGUAAUCUUGCCACGUUUUAUUUUUAAAUACGCAUCAUAUUUAGUAUUUAUAGAUUUAAUAUGAUAAUAAAUAUAUCUUAAUUAUAUUUAAGAUUUUUAUAAAUAAAAUUUUAAUUUGAAAGUUUUUGAAAGAUAACGACAUAGAAAAAGGAAAAACAGAAAAAGGAAAAACAAAACAUUAAAAAAUAUCCUAACAUAUUAGUGAUUGUAACGUUAAAAUCAUUAUGUCUAAAUUAAAGGAUGACAUGUAAAAAUAAACCCUUUAAGAUAGCUUAUAUGAAACACUAAUGGAGUAAAAAAUAUUUCAGUUUUAGUAAUUUUUCUUGAUUUCAAAAGUUUAUUAUAAUUUUGUUAUUUAAUUGCUGAAAAAUAAAAUAAAAUAUUCUUUAAUAUUUAUAUAUAAUCAUUCAAAAUUAAUUGCAAAUGCCUAUACUAUAAUAAGUUAUUAUAUCAAAAAUAAUUAUUAUUUAAUCUUUUAAAUUUAGUAAAACUUAUUAAAUAGUUUUGUAAUUUUAAAAAAUAUAUUCAAACAUAUCUGAGUUAUUAAAAAAUCUACUAAUUAAUUUAUCUGUUAAUUUUAAUAAUUAAAUAUUGAAAAAAAUAUAAAAUGAGAGACUAAUUAGUUUAAUUUUUAUAAAAUUAAAGGACUAAUUAAUACAUUUUAUUUAUUCUAUAAGAAUUAAAUAGUAGAAUACUUAAUAUUUAAAGUUAAUAAAUGACUGAUUAGUAUAUUUUUUAAUAUUUCAAAAUGUUUUAAUGAGUUUUUUUUACAAUUAAUAGACUAACUAAUUAAUUUUAUUAAAUUUAAAAAGCUAAAUAAAUUUUUUUAAAUUAAUAGUUUUAUUAAAUUUAAUGGGCUAAAUAAUUUUUUUUUUAUAUGUUAAGAGUUAAAAAUAAAUAUCUUUUUGUUGAACUAUGCAAAUUUAUUGCAUUUUUUAUGGGUUAGUCCAACAAAAAAAUAAAGCAUCCAAAUGACUCGUAUCUACAAAAAUAACCCAGUAAUCUAAGAACCCAAACAGUAGCUCAAAAAGUAGAAACUCCCAACCCAUAUUGACUCAAGCUAAAUCCUGAGUCAUCACUGCACCAUUUGAGUCAACAAAAAACCGAUAAGGGAAAAAAAUAUUACUGAGAAACAAUGUCAGCAACCCCUAUCCAACCCUUUAGCAAAAAUAAAAAAUAACAAUAAGAGAACACAGAUCACAACCACACAUGCAAACAAAUCUAGAUUGGAAAGAGUAAUGGCCGAACUUAAGCAGCUUAGACGAAAACUAGGCGCAAAAAGAGCGGCAUAGCAGAGCUCUUAGCCCGUCAUCAGACUAUGAGAGCGUAACUCAUCGGGCGUAUCGAUGUAUUUCGGAGGUGCAAUGCUACACAUGCAAAUAACUCCCAAAAGCUAUACAGACAAACCCUCAAACCAGAUUUAAAAGAGCAAUUUCACUACUAAGAAACGUUAAAAACUUACACAAAAAAAAAAACUAAAAAGAAAAUAAAAUAAAAACUUAUACCAACCACCCAUUUUUAGUGAGAAAGAAAUAGAGGGAUUCAAAAGUAUGGAAGAGCAGAAGAAACUCAAAUUCAAAAACCAAAGUAAAUCAAAUAAGAGCAACUGAAGAUAUCAGAAAGACACCAACACAAAAGCCUGAAACCCUCAUUGACGCCUACUGCCCGUUCGUCUGCUCUAUUUCCUUCUUUCGUAUUUCCUUUUUUAUUUCUCUCUAAACUACUGUGAUGGAUUUUAUUUAAAAUUAUAUGUUCUCAUAACAUAAAAUAUCAUGACUUUUUUUAUUAAUUUUAUUAAAUUUAUAAUAAAGAUAAAAUAUAAAUAAUUUUUUUCAUUAAUUACAUUAAUGGACAUUUUAUCUUCUGACGUAAAAAAAACAAAAAAGUAAUGGGCUCAGUACAAUUACUGGAAAGUUGAAAUUUGCAAAAGAGAUUAAUCUUAUUCUUGAUAAAAAAGCAAAAAACAAAUGUACUGUUGUGGAGAAUCCUUGUGUUGGUAGGCCCCAUGUGAUUUUUUAGUGGGCCACCCUUGUUCUCCACUAGCAAUGCAAAAUUUGUCUUCCUUUCAGAAUUGUGAUGAGGAAGUUGUUUUUUCAAAAAAAACAAAAAUUGAAAAACAAAGUGUUGAAAUUAUUUUAAAAAAUUUUAUAUGUAAAAAUAUACUUUAACCUUAAAUUAUUUUAGUAUUUUAAUUAAUAUAUUUUUAAAACAUUCGUCAACAAUAAUAUUAACAAAUCUCCAUACACAUUAUAGAAAAUAUUUAUUUAUCAGCUUAUCAUUUUACUAUUUAUUAGCAUUAAACUAAUAAAUUAAUUAAUAUAAUUAAAUAUACUAAUUUUUUUUAGUAAUUUUAAUAAUAAAUAUAUUUAUAGGUUACAUUGUAUUAGAUAUAUCUAUUAUUUAUCAAUUAUUUAUAAAUAUUUUAAGUAAAUAUGUGAUUAUUUAAAAUUUUAAAUAUUUAUAAAAUUAAAAAUAAUUGAUAAUAUUAAGUAUUUAUAGACUUGGUCUGAUAAUAAAUGUAUCUGAGUAAAUCUAAUAGAUCUUAAAUUCUAUUCUCCAGUUCCUAUUUUUUAAAAAAAAAUUAAGUAUUUAAAACUAUAUUUGGUAAUUUAAGUUUAAUUUCAAGCAUAAAAUUACACAUAGAGUUAGACUCUGAAAUUCACUUUUCUUUCUUUGUUAAAGAAUAAUAUUGCUUAGAAUUCCAUCAAUCUAAUUUUCAAACGUCAUAUAUAUUCAAAAGGCUUAAAAUUAAAAAAAAAAAGCCUAAACUUUAUAUUUUUUUAAUUGUCUUUUUUUUUUUUUUACUUUUAUCAAUUUAGUGAAGGAAAAUGAAAUAUACAUAUAAUCUUAUAUAACUAUAUAUAUCAAUUAAUAAGAAGAAAAAAAAUUGUUUUAAUUAUUUAAAUGAAACAUGUAAAAAAUAUUUUUUUAAAAAAAUUAAAUUCUAAUGAUCAGAAAAUAAAACAUAUUUAUUUAAAAAAUAAAAACAAAAGAUAUUAAUAUUCCUUACAAAGAAAAUUUUACAAUGUACAUUUUUAUUAUCACAAUUGGCAAAUACUGAAAUUUAUACAGAUUUUCUUCCUAAAAUAGCAUAUUUUGAUGUCAAGCAUUAAAGGGAGUAAUUAAAAUUGAUAAAUUGUACAUAUUUCCCAUUAAUUUUUAAAUUAAAUUUCAAAUAUUUUCAUUUUUUUUAUAAAUCAUCCGGUAUUUUAAAUUCACGUACUUUACUUAUACAGAUUUGUGCCGGACAAGUCCAAUAAAGAAUAAAACACUUCUAUAUCACGUAUUUUACUUAUAUAAAUUCGUAUUGAACAGAUGUAAUAAGGAAUAAAACGCUUCCUUUCAAAUUUAUAAAGAUAUUUUGUACCUAUAAUUCAAACUCAAAAUCUCAUAUCAGAAAAGAGGAAACUUGCGACAUUCCUAAAUGGUAAAUUUCAUAAUUUUCUAAUUAUGCCUCUUUUGAUUUUUUUUUUUCAUUUAAUAUAUCAUUGGUUAAUAUAGAGUUUUGAGUUAGUAUCCAGUGCCAUGCUCAAUUUUUCUUAAAUUUUAAUAAUAAUAUAAAUAAAAUUUGGUUAUAAANNNNNNNNNNNNNNNNNNNNNNNNNNNNNNNNNNNNNNNNNNNNNNNNNNNNNNNNNNNNNNNNNNNNNNNNNNNNNNNNNNNNNNNNNNNNNNNNNNNNNNNNNNNNNNNNNNNNNNNNNNNNNNNNNNNNNNNNNNNNNNNNNNNNNNNNNNNNNNNNNNNNNNNNNNNNNNNNNNNNNNNNNNNNNNNNNNNNNNNNNNNNNNNNNNNNNNNNNNNNNNNNNNNNNNNNNNNNNNNNNNNNNNNNNNNNNNNNNNNNNNNNNNNNNNNNNNNNNNNNNNNNNNNNNNNNNNNNNNNNNNNNNNNNNNNNNNNNNNNNNNNNNNNNNNNNNNNNNNNNNNNNNNNNNNNNNNNNNNNNNNNNNNNNNNNNNNNNNNNNNNNNNNNNNNNNNNNNNNNNNNNNNNNNNNNNNNNNNNNNNNNNNNNNNNNNNNNNNNNNNNNNNNNNNNNNNNNAAAAAAAAAGGAAGGAAGAAUAAAAAUAUAAUGCAGGGAAGGAGGAAGGGAGAGGUUUUCCCUUAAAUCUGGUUGGAAGAGAAAGUUUUGUAGAGAGAAAAAUUUUAAAGAAUAAUCUUGUUUCGCUCAGAACCUAGGUUUAUGUGGUUAAUUAAAAAUUAUAUGAUUAUUUUUUUAAAAAAAAUUCAUAAUCAUUAUCUUCUAUGAUUCCAUUGUUGUAAAAUUUACCACUUCAAAGCUUAAGAAUAACCAAUUUCUGGCAAAUUUGGAUUAGUAUAUUUUAAAAAAAUAGACUUCAAUUAAUAUUCUACUGGAUGAAAUUUUUUAAGUGAAAAAUUUUUAUACCCAUUCGGAUAUAUAUAUUUAUUUAAUAUAAUUUUAAUAGAUAAUUUAAAAUUUAAAAAGAAAAAUCAUUUAAAAUAUUGUAAAAUUUAUAUAUUAAUAUGAAAUUUUAAUUUAUCAUUAGUGGAAUAUAUUUGAAAGAAUUUUCAUUUAAGGUGAUGUGCGAAUAUGACUCUUUAUAUACAUAAGAACGUUGCACGUCAUGAAGGAUUAAUUUUAACCCUUUGUCAAAAGAAAAAAGUGGGCCAAUCUCCAUGGAAUCUUGCUUUGGCUUUAAACCAUCGGACGACGACGUGACACAAAAAGGGCAAGUGGACAAUCAUGCAUGCAAUGAAUCACGUUAGCAUGAACUCUAUAUAAAGGGCAGUGCCAUGAGAAGUGCAAACCACACAAGCACUUGAAAAUCUUAACACCAUCAACAUGGCUUUAGCUUUCAAACACUCUCUUCUGCUGGGGAUGCUCGUCUUCCUCAUAGCUCUGUUGGCUCUUACUGAGCCAACAAUGGCUGAUGAUGUUGAUGAUGUCCCUGAUAACUUUAACCGUACUUAUUUUCCAGAUGAUUUCAUUUUUGGCACAGCUACUUCUUCUUACCAGGUAUAUUCAGACCUUCAUUUUUAUCUAUUUGUUCCUAGUUUGCAUUAUUUGCUUUGCUUCUUUUUUCUGUUUAUAAAAUUUGCUUAAAAUAAAUAAUAUUCAAUUUUACAUUAGAUCGAAGGUUCAACAAACAUAUCUGGUAGAGGACCUAGUGUCUGGGAUAUAUUUACUCAUGAAUAUCCAGGUACGAUCAAAUGCAUAGCAACAUAUGAUAUAUAUGUGCAAAAUAUUAAUUAUUUGUAUGUAAUCUUGUAGAAAGGAUAAAGGAUCACAGUAAUGGAGAUGUUGCCGUCGAUUUUUACAAUCGAUUUCCGGUAUAAUAGUUAAACUUUUUUUUUUUUAAUUUUCUACAAAAAUCAUUGUAUUGACAACAAUGAAAUUAAAUUGCAGGAGGAUAUCAGAAAUGUGAAGGAUAUGGGUUUUGAUGCAUUCAGAUUAUCAAUUUCGUGGUCUAGAGUUAUACCCAGUAAGUAAUUUAUUAUUGUAUGAAUAUUACUCCAUAUAUAUAGUAAGUACUUUCACACUUGUUUAUAAUAUUAAUUUUAAAAUGUUCAGGUGGAAGAAGAUCUGAAGGAGUGAACGAGGAGGGGAUAAAAUUUUAUGAUGAUGUUAUCAAUGAAGUUCUAAGACAGGGUGAAAAUCAUCUUUUUUUCUCUUAAAUUUUGUGAAUUAUGCCUUUAAUAUCUGCAAAACAUAUUCAAAAACCAUAAAUUUGAAUAAUUACAUUUAAUUAAUUACUAGCAUAAUUGCAUCAUCUUUUAAAUUCUUAAUUUUCAUUAAGUUUUCCGUCCAACGUGAAGUCAUCAUAUUAUUACAUCAAAUUUAUAAUUUUUCUUUUUGUUACAAAAAAUUCAGAUCUUAUACCAUUUGUUACAAUUUUUCAUUGGGAUACUCCUCAAGGUCUAGAGGAUAAAUAUGGCGGCUUUUUAAGUCGUAAUAUUGUGUAAGUAUACAAACCCAAAUAAUAUUUUCAAAUUACAAAAGAGAAAUUUAUGUAUCAAUUUUUCAAUAUAAUAUUCUCAUCUAACUAAUAAAAUAACUUAUAUAUAAUAUAUAGGGAUGAUUAUCGUGAUUAUGCGGAUCUUCUCUUCGAAAGAUUUGGUAAUCGAGUGAAGUUUUGGAUGACUUUUAAUGAACCGUGGGCUCUUAGUGGAUUUGCCUAUGAUGAUGGAUUUUUUGCUCCCGGUCGAUGUUCAUCUUGGGUGAAUCGUCAAUGUCGUGCUGGAAAUUCAGCUACUGAACCUUAUAUAGUUGCACAUCAUCUCCUCCUCGCACAUUCUGCAGCUGUUAAUUUAUAUAGAGAAAAGUACCAGGUUGGUGAUUUUUGGAUAUACAUACAUGCAUGCCUAGUUUCUUUGUCAAAUACAAAUCUAUCUAGAUUAAUGUGACAUUCUUUUUAUAUUGAUUAUAUAGAAAAUUCGACCCGGCGCGACAAUAGGCAAGAUUGGAAUAACACUCUUUACCUUUUGGUUCGAACCAUUAUCCAAUAGAUCAAUUGAUAUAGAAGCAUCCAGAACAGCACUUGAUUUCAUGUUUGGAUUGUAAGUUUUUCAUUCAAAUUAAUCCAGCUUAUAUACAAAAGUAAUAAAUAAUACAUAUAAUUUUACUAUAUUUUUCAGGUGGAUGGAUCCUUUAACUUAUGGUCGUUAUCCAAGACGUGUGCAAGAUUUAGUUGGAGAUAGAUUGCUCAAUUUUACUGAAAAAGAAACUGAAAUGCUUAGAAAAUCAUAUGAUUUUCUUGGGUUACAAUAUUAUACUUCGUAUUAUGCAAAACCAAAUGCUCCAAUUGAUCCAGAUCAUAUUAGAUACAAAACUGAUAGUCAAACCACUACAACCGGUAAGCUCAUUCAGAAAUGUGAUAUAUUAAAAGUAGAAAGAAUAUAUAUGUGGGUUGAUAUAAGUAUCCUUUUUGAAAAGAAUUUUCAUUUAUAACAUGUUUUUUUUUCCUUACAGCCUAUGACUAUGACGGUAACCCAAUUGGUCCACACGUAAGUGUGUAUUAAAAUGAAAUUUAGUAUAAAAAAGAGAAGAAAAUUGCACGUUUAUGAAUAGUAUCACUGACAUAAAAAUAAAAAUUUGCAGGCUUACUCACCUUGGUUUUACAUUUUUCCAAAAGGCAUUCGACAUCUUUUGAACUAUACCAAAGAUACAUAUGAAGAUCCAGUAAUUUAUAUUACUGAGAAUGGUAAAUAGUUUAUUUCUUUUGUUAUAGAAUUACUAGCGAGCUAUUCACAUUAAUAGUGUGCUCCAAUUUAUUUAAGUUUUUCAUAUAUUAAUUCAGGGGUUGAUAGAUACAAUAACGAAAGUCGAACUCCUGAGCAAGUGAGAAAUGAUACAUUCAGGAUAAACUAUUAUAAAGAGCACAUGUGGCAUGCAUUGGGAUCCCUCAAGUGAGUCUAAACUCCAGUAUGCUAAUAUAAAGAUUUUUUUUUUAAUAAUCCUUAAUCAAUUUUACUAAUAAAAGUUAGUUUUUGUAGGAAAUACAAUGUUAAUCUCAAAGGUUAUUUUGCAUGGUCAUAUUUGGACAAUUUCGAGUGGAAUAUCGGUUAUACUUCGAGAUUUGGUUUAUACUAUGUUGACUAUCAUGAUGACUUGAAAAGAAUGCCCAAAGAUUCCGCUAACUGGUUCAAGGAUAAGUUCUUGAUGAGCCCUUGGAAGGUUACUUCAAAGGAUUCAAGGAAAGUUGGCAAAUACUACAUAAUGUAGUAUGGGUUGAGGUGCCAAAAUUAAAGAGAUAUGGCUUGUGUGUGUCUUGCAAUGAAAUAAUAUGAUUGGGCUACUUCUUAGCUCCAAUGACAUAGCUAGCUUGUGUGGUAAUAGUUUUGUGUGUCUUUGUCUAGCAAUUAAAUAACAUCAUUGAGCUUACUGUUAAGCUCCAAUGACAGGUUGUGUUGUAAUAUAUUUUUGAAAUGAACAAGGAGUGUUUAUCUCCUUUAAGGAAUUUUAUUAAUAUUAUCGGCCUUUGUAUGCAUGAAUUUUAUUAACACUUUUUUUUAGUUUAUUGAAAAAAAUCUAAAUAUUUAGAUUAAUUGAUAUUUAUAGUUAAAAUUUUAACUUUGAAUAAUAAAAUUAAAUAUUUAUAGUUUGUCACAAUUAUAAUAAAAAAAUUAAGUUAAAUUUGAAAAAAAAAACAGUAAAUUAUAAUAUAGUCUCUAAAAUUUUAUAUUAAUUAAAUAUAUAAACCCUUUAAUUCAAAUUUAUAUUAAAAAUAGAUAUAUUUUAUAUUUAUCAUAUAUAAUAUUAAUUAUAUUAUAUAAUAAAUAAAUAUUUAUUAUAAAGUUCGUGAAAUAUUUAUACUCAACAUUAUGUGCGUAUUUUCAUAUAUAAAAAAAACUAUACUUUAUAUUAAUAAUAUUAAUAAAAUAAAAUAUUAUAUAUUUUAGACUAUAAAGUUUUAUUGUUUUUACAUUUUAAAUUUUUAUUAAUCUAUAAUGUGCCUAUGAAAGUGGGAAUAAGCAAAAGUGAGAAUGAAUAAUGAAUAUAAUGAGAUUAAUAAAAAAGGAUAUUGCUAAAAAAAAGUAAAACUUUAUGUAUUAUAUUAAUUUUUUAAAUUUUAAUUUAAUAUUUUAAUUAUAAUUAUGAUAAAUUAAAAAAUUUAAUUUUAUCAUGCAAAAUUUAAAAUUUUAGAUAUCAAUAUAAAUUAUUACUAAUAUUUAAAUUUUUUGUCUAAUAAACUUUUUUUAAUAUUGUAGUCUCACCAUGCAAAAUAAAUUAUUUUCUUAAAAAAUAAUAUAUUUAAAAAAUAUUUUUUAUGAAAUAAAUAAAGGCUAAUGUUAUAUUUAAUUUUUAGAUUAUGUUUUAUAUAAAGGUAGACGGCCCUAAUUAUGAAAAAGAUAUAGUUUAUUUGUUCUAUAAUUUUUAUUUAUUUAUUUUUAAUUAUUUUAAAAUUAUUACUCAUUUUUUUAUAUUAUACACUAUUAACAUAUAAAUUAAUUAUUAUAAUUCUAUUUAAUUUUAUUUUAUUUUCAAUAUAAUUUUUUAUUAAUUAAUUAUUAUUUUUUUAAAAUUAAUAUUCAAAAUAUCUUCUAAUAUUUAAUAAAAUUUAAUGUAUUUAAAAUGAAUAUAAUUAAAAAAUUAAUAAAAAAUUAUAUGACAAAACAUAAAGAGAAGAGAAUCAUACAUAUAAUAAAAUAAUGCCGUAUAAUAUAUAGUUUAGUUUAGUUAUUUUGACUUUGUUUUUAUGGAUUAACUUGAAAUUGAAUCGAAAAUUAUAAUUCAAUUAUUUUGUGUUUCAUUAAUUAAUUUUUUAAAAUAUUUUAAAUAUUAAAAAAAUAUUCUUAAAAAAUAUUUCUUAUAAAAUAAAUGAAAUCUUAAAAAAUAAAAUUUAUCAAAAAAUUGAUAUAAUAAAAUAAGAACCCCUCAACAGUAGUCUAAAAGACCAUAGAAAACUUAUCGAGGCAAAGGGGAAAAGAGCAAACUUUUCCAUCAAACCCAAUAUUCAAAACAGCAGAGGGCAAGGAUAGAAGCUCAAAAUGAACGCAUGAAACACAGAGGGAGGCCGGCCCCAAGAGAGAGGCCAUCAUCUUCCGUCACACCACUCCCUCAUCAUCUGGGUCAGGAGAGGAAAACCCUUCCAAAAAGAAGCCCACACAAACGAAGCCUGUUCCACCAAAACCGACAGAACCAUCUCAUAGUAAACAUCCCACAGAUGCCACACGCCGGAGGACAAGCCAUAGGUGCCGCCAACAACAUUAUGUAGUGCGAGAGCAGCCAAAUCUGGACAACAAUCACAAAUCCUAUACAUACAAAGAAAAGGUGAAACAUCCAAACUAAACACAAAGAACAGUUGCAAAUAAAACCUAGAAAACCGCCCUAAAGCACAGAAACACAACCAUCGGGAAUGAGAAAAAGCAACAACUGCUGCCACAUGCAGGGAUGACCACCGCCUACCGCCACCAAAGUGAAGAACACUGGCCAUAACGAUUGCAAUUUGUAUAGUUAUUGAAUAGCUCAAGGAACAAAACACGAUUCCGAUGUCAACAAUCCACCGGCCUUCAAUGCUCCAACCACAAAUGACCUUGAGAGACCACCCAUCUAACUCAAACGAAAAUGAGAACAAACACGAAAAACAAAAUUGAAAAAAUUCUACAAGGCCAACGACAUCGAUCGAAUCUUGCCUAAAAGCAGAUGGCUUGAUCCAAUGGUAACAAAACUUGAGAUCUUAGCUCUCUUUCUCUCUCUUCUCUUUCUUCUCUCUUCAAAGGAAAAAAGAAUGCCAAUAAGUGAUAAUGCUUGCAGUUUUUAUAACAAAUACUUUGUCAUUCUUAUAUGCAUGCAGUAAACUUUUUAUUAAUAGUUUAAUACAUAUACCAGAAAUAAUUAUUUAAUUAGAAUAUCAAAAAAUAAAAUAAAUUAAUAAACUUCAUGUAUAAAAAGUUCACAAUGUUAAGAAUAAUUUUAAAAUUUUAAUAUAAAUUAUAUUUAAAAUAGCAUUGGUGCAGCGGAUUUAGAGAGUAAGCAUACAUUUUUUUUGUUUUGAAAUGAAAAAUUGAAAAUUGGAGGAUAAAAUCUGAGACCUUUUAUAUUUAUUUAAAUAUACUUUACCAUCAGAUUAAAUAUAUGCGCGAUGUUCUUACUUUUUAAAAAUUUUAAUUAAGAGUUAUGUUAAAUAUAUAUUUAUUUUUAAUAUAAUAUUAUGUUUCGAUCCUCAUUUCUAAAAAUAAAAAAUGGGAAGUAGAAAUAAGUAAGCAAAUUUUUUUAAAUUUCAUGAGUUUAUUUUUAAUAAGAUGUUAUAUUUAGUAAUUUUUCUAUUGUUGAAAAACUUAUUUUUUUAUUAAUCUAACUAAAUAAAAAUUGUGGAUUGAAAUUUAAUAAAUUCGAUUGUAUGUUUACUAAAUUAAACUAUAAUUUAUUUAUUAAAUUUAAAUUUAUUAAAUGUAUAUUUUAAGUAUAAAUAUUACUUUAAUGAAUAUUUUAUUAAAUAAUAGAAUAUUAAAUAAUAAAAAUUGAGGAAGUGGGAUGGGGGCAGGACAAGGAGGAAAAUAUAGAUUUUUUUUUCAUUUUUUUAAGAUAAAUGAAAAAUAAAUCUCAAAUAAAAAUAAAUUUUUUUUAUUGUAUAUAAAAAAAAAGUUUUAGUUAAUUCCCGUUUAUCAUCUUGGAAAAAUUUAGGUAUACAUAUGAUUUUAUAAAUUUUCUUUAAAUUGAAAAAAAUUAAAUAGAAAAAAAUUAUUAUUUUCAAACACAAAGAAUAGUUAUGCCUUUCCGAUUAUUUAUUUAUUUCUUUCUUUCCUCUCCCAUAUCAAAAAUGGGUAAUUUUUACCUGUAAUAACUGAAUUUUAAUACUUGUUUUAUUGUAAUUAUUAAAUUUAAUUUUAUUUCAUAAAACAUUAAUUUUUUUUUAUUUGAACUUCAAAUGGUAAAUCUCGUCAGAAUUUAAUAGAAUCUCUAAUUAGGUUUUUACAUAGACUAAUUUUACUUAAAAAUUGAAGGUAAUCUCGUCAUUAUCAUCAAACUAAUUAUUCACCUAUCAUAAUAAUUGAAGAUGCUAUUUGAAUUUAGCCACAGCCGAUUUUACAUGUGUGGGGAUGUAGCUCACAUGGUAGAGCGCUCGCUUUGCAUGCGAGAGGUACGGGGUUCGAUCCCCCGCAUCUCCACUAUUUUUUUUAUAUUUAUUUUGCCUAAUCUUGAAAACGAAGAGGCCCAGCCCAUGUCAAGUGCCAAUUCAGGCUUUCACGAGCCCAGUUUUUCUAGAGCUUCAAAAUCCCACUUAAAUUUCAGGCUUUUCCUUUGUUUUUUUGUCAAGUACACUGUCUUCACUGAAUUUCCUGCAACUCUCUACAAAUCUUCAUCUGAAAACAUUGUUUUUGAGAUUGAGAAUUCACAAUCCACAUUAGAAAAAAAAUUAAAAGUAUUCUCAAUGGACCAAUCUCUCCCUCAACAGAAAUUGAAAAAGAAAGCAGUGAGUCAUUUCAUAAGGCCACAACCACCAUGAAUAAAACUCAAGGAAGCUAGCUGUCUCUUUCAUAUCUCAGCAGUGGAGAUGUCUAUUUUCUGCCAUAUAUAUAUAUAUAUAUAUAUAUAUAAAUAUAAAGGCACUUGAUAUCUGCUUUUGUGAUUUUGUGCAGACACUACAGUCGCUCACUAUUUUGUCUACAAAAUGAUGCAUGAUGAUCUGAGAUCUAAUAGAUUAGGGUUUUAUAAGGGUUUGUGUAUUGAAGAAAAAACUUGGCUUAUCUCCCUAGAGGAGUAUCCCUUUUAUCAUUUUUUUCCUGCUUGCUGGUGACGUAUAAUGGCUCUCCCAUGAUUGGACAACGCGUCUCUGCCGUACAGAUAUGGGCGUACGAGUGUAUCAGGUGCCUGCUCCAUGCGUAACGGCCUCUGAUUCUCCCCCGUGCGUACACUUGAGCGGAUCUGCCAGGCUAUAUGACGAGUCUCGUUCUGGAUUCUGGGCUGGGCCGAGAGCUGGGCUGGACGAUGAACCCAGGAGGAGAAAGAAUCCGUGGGGAGGUUAUACGGGCUGGGCCGAUCUCGAUGAAAGAAGAAUCUGGUGGAGUCCGGCCUCAGGGGUCUGAUGAUCCGGGCCUGUUUUACCUAAGAGGGCGUGCGGGCCUUCCUUUCAUGGGCCGUGGCCGUAAUCUAGGCCCAGGAUUGGAGUAGGAAAAUCCAGCGGUCAUCAAAGCAUUUUGGAGAAAUUUUUUCUAUAAAAGAGUACAUGAAGGAAAAUGAUGAUUUCUUUUCUUUUCACUUUCUUUGAUUAUAAAGUUAGAGUAGUCAGGAUCAUUAAUCGAGAACCCUCUAUGUCUAUCUGAAAUCUUUUCAGUAAGGCUAAAAGCCUACAUAAUUAAGUUUAUAACCAAAUAGAAUACUUGGAAUUUUACAAAAUACUUCAGUGAACCAAAUUGUUAUUAUCAUGAAAAUUAUUUCCAUAACACUGCCCUUUUCUAAAGAUUCUCAUGAAACUUGGUUUAUAGAGUUUUGCGAGUUAAAAUCCAUAUGUAUUAUAAUGGUCCGUUCAUAUCUACAAUCAAUUUACCUAAUCUAAACUAUAAAUAUGAAUAUAAAUUUUAUUUAUUUUUAUGUGGUUCAAAGUAUUCAUAAAUUAUUCAAGAUUCGUUUCGAUAAAAAUUCGAUUAAAUUCAAAUUAUUUUUGAAACAAGUUAAAUUCGAAUUUAAAUUGUAGGCUUACUUAUUUAACGAGCCGAGUAUUAAUUUCGUUAGUAUUUGCAUCGUUAAAAUUUAUGAAUUCAAAAUAAUAAAUUAACUCGUUGAAUAUACUCGAAUUCAAAUUUUAAGCUUAUUUAUUUAACGAGCCGAAUAUUAAUUCCGUUAGUAUUUGCAUUAUUAAAAUUUAUGAGUUCAAAGUAACAAAUUAACUCAUUGAAUAUACUCGAAAACAUACUGAACUCAAUAUAAUAAAAGAAUUAAAUUUAAAACUUACAUAAAAUUUCAUAAUUUAAAUUUGAGUUUUUUAAAAUUUAAUUUCAUUCAAUUGAAUUACACUCUUAAAAUUUAUAAAUAUAUAACUUGUUAAAAUUUGAGAGCUCAAUGUUUAUAAAUUUAAUAAGUUAAUUUAAAUAUAUACUGUUUUUUGAUUCAAAAAAUAUAUAUAUACUGUUUAACUAAAAUUAUUUAAUUUUGAAUUUAUUAAUUUUAAAUUAAAAUUUAUUAUAAUAAAGCAGUUUAAUAGCUUGUCAUUUAAAUUUUUUUUAAGUUAAUUAAAAUAAAAUUUUGUCUUUUAUUAAAGAAAAGCCAAAUUUGACCUCUUUUCAUGCUUCCAAUACAAUCCAUUACCGAUGAGUCCAAUCCAUUCCAUCUAUUUCAUUUAAAAUCAAAUUAAAAUAAAUAAAUUAAAAAUUAAAAAUUUAAUAUUUUUAAAAAUUAAAUUAAUUUUAAUUAAAAAUCAAAUCAAAUUGAAUUGAUUCGAUUCGAUUUAAUUCAAUUUGGUUUAAUUAAUUUUAAUUUUUAAUAAAUUUUUUAUUUUUUACUCUUUAUUUUUAGUAUUUUAAAAUUUAAUUAAAAUAUUUUAAUUUUAAUAUGCUUUAAUUUCUCUAUAUUAUUAAAAAUAACAUAUUAUUAUCUCUAAAUUGAUUCGAUUCGAUUUUUUUUAAUCAAAAUUGAACCAAACUGAAAUAACUGAAAUUUUUAAAAUUAAAUCGAAACGAACUAAAAUGAAUAAAAAAAUCAAACUAAAAUUUUAAAUUAAAUCAGUUCGAUUAAUUUUUUCGAUUUGAACUGAAUUCUACUCACUCCUCCUCCUAUUAUCCUUAUUUGAAUUUGGACGCAACAAUAUAUUUAUACGUGUCAUUUUAUUAAAAUUUAUAAAUAAAAAAAAUUAACAUGCACCAAUUUAAUUAAAUUCAAGUUCGCAGCUCUUUAUUUUUUCCCAAAAAAACAGCAAAGAAACAAACAAUUCAAGAGUCAAAUUCUGAUGUAAGUGCGUUUCCAAGAGCUGCAUUGUUUAGCGACGUGUUAUUAUCAUAUAAAACCGUAUCUACAGAAGUUUUCUAUUUGACAGAGUUAUUUAAUUCUUUUCAACACUUAUAUGGAUUUAGCCCUAAAUGCAUAGAGAUUUACAAUCCUAUUGUCCUAUUAAAUCGAAUAAGUUACAUUUUAAUUUUUUAACUGAAUCAUAUGAUAUCUUGAGUCCACUUAUCAAACUAAUUUGAAUUCACUUACAUAAAUCUAUGAAGAAAAUCAUUUUUAUGUAUGAAGAAAAUUUUUUACAUUAAAAAAUACUAAAUUUUUUUAUUUUAAAUAAAAAUUUUAUAAAAAAAUUAAUUUUUAUAAAAUUUUUAAUUUCAAAUAAUUGUUUAAAAAAAUUAAGAAAAGUAGACUUCUAGUCAAAAGAGUUAACAAUAAUAAUAAUAAUAAUAACUUAACUAUUUAAGGUUCAUUCUCUGUCAUCUGAUAUCAAUGAUGAAAAUUUUAUGUAAUUAAAAUUUAUAAAUUAAUAAUAAUGUAAGAGAUUAAAUUUUAAAAUAAUAAAAUUAUGUUUAAUGAAAAAUAAAUAAAUCUAUGUGUAUUGAAGGAGAGAUAUAACAUAUAAAUUUAAUUUUCACAAAUUACAUCUCAUUUUUCUUUUUUUGGUAUAAUUUAUUUUGUAAAAAAAAUAUUUUUUUAUAAAAUUACAUCAUAUUUCAAGUUAUUUUAAAAUACAAAUUUUUUAAAUUAAAAAUAAUUGAAUUUUUUAAGAACAAUCAUAAUUAUUUAACACUUUUCAUUCUAUUAAUUAAAAAAUAUGUAUUAUAUAUUUUUUUAAAUUAAUUAUUAAUUAUUAUAAUUUUUCAUCAAUAAGAUUGAGAGUAUUGAUUAUUCAUAAUAUUUUUUUUCAUUUUAAACAAGAGAAUUAUUAAAAAAAAUUAAUUUAAUACAAUUAAAUUCUCACAAAGUCUUUUUAACUCUGAAUGAAGAGUUAGAGUUUGCAUAUGUGAAAGAGCCAUAAAUAUUUUUAAGAGUCUCAUUGAACAAAAAAGUCAAAAUUUACAUAAUAUUAUAUAUAUUUUAAUUUAAAUAUUUUUCAGUAUUGGAUUUAUUAUUUCAAAUUUUUUAAUUUACUAAAAUUAUAUCUUAGAUUAAAGUUAAGACUUAAAAUAAAAACUUAGUAUAUGGUAUGCCAUUUAAAAAUUUUAUUAUUAAAAUACUAAAAUUAUUUUUUAAAAUACAAUUAUUAAAAUACUAGUAAACCUUAUUUAUAUGAAUUCAAAUCUAAAUACUUCUAUAGUAUAUAUAGAGUAUAAAUAAUAUUUUUUUAUUAAUUUAAUUUACAAAUCAAAUUUUAUAAUCAUCAGACAAAAACUUUUUCUUUUUCCUUCUUCUUCGACUUUAGCAAUCUCAUUAUUGAAAUUUGAUUUAAAGGUUUAUGAUGAUUGUAACGUUACAAAAUUAAUUGCAAAUGCCUAUCCUAUAAUAAAGUUACUUUUGUAUUUGAAGAAAAUUAUUAUUUAAUCUUUUAAAUAAAGUAAAAUUUAUUAGUUAGUUUUUUAAUUUUAAAAAAUAUAUUAAAAUAUUUUUAAAAUAUUAAAAAUUCUAUUAAUUAAUUACUCGAUUAAUUUUCAUUUUACCUAUUAAGUGUUGAAAAAAGUCUAAAAUAAAAGAUUAAUUAGUUUAAUUUUUAUAAAAUUAAAAAAUUAACUAAUAAAUUUUGUUGAUGCUAUAAGGAUUAAACAGUAAAAUACUAAUAUCUAAAGUUAAUAAAUGAUUGAUUAAUAAUUUAAAAUAUUUUAAUGAUUUUUUUCAGAUUAAUAAACUAAAUUUAAGAGAGUAAAUAAUUUUUUUUAUAUUAAAAAUUGAAGAUAAAAGUUUUUUUUCUUGAACUAUGUAAAUCUAUUGCAUUUUUCACUGGUCCAACAAGAAACAAAGUAUCCAAAUAACUUAUAUCCACAAAAAUAAUCCAGUAAUUCAAGAACCCAAACAAUAGCCUAAAAAGCAGAAACUCUUAAUUCAUAUUAACUCAAUUGAUCGACACAAGCACCGUCGCACAAAUUUCGAGUCGCCGAUGUACCAUUUGAGUCAUCAGUACAUUAAGAAAUAAUGACAGCAACCUUUAUUUAACUCUUUAGCAAAAAUAAAAAGUAACAAUAAGAGACACAUGAUACAUCUGCACAUGCAAGCAGAUCUAGAUUGGAAAGAGUCACGACCGACGAAAACUAGCCGCAAAAAGAGACAGCGUAGCAGAGCUCUUAGUCAAUUAUCAGACUGUGUGAACGUAGCUCAUCGGAUGUAUUGAUGCGUAGGUGCAAUACCACAUAUGCAAAUAACUCUCCAUAACCAUAGAUACAAAGUCACCAGACCCUCAAAUCAGAUCCAAAAGAGCAAUCCCCACUACCAAAAAAUACUAGGAAUUUGAAAACAUGGAAGAACAGAAGAAACUCAAAUACAAAAAUCAAAGUAAAUCAAAUAAGAGCAACCAAAGAUACCAGAAAGACACCAACACAAAAGUCUGAAACUCUCACCGAUGUCUACAGUCCGUUCAUCCGCCCUAUCUCCUUCUUUCGUAUUCUUUUUUUUUUUUUUCUAUGUAAACUAUUAUAAUGAGUUUUAUUCAAAAUUAUAUGUUCUCAUAAGAUAAAAUAUCAUAGCUUUUUAUUAAUUUCAUUUUUUUUGAAAUAGAAAUUUCAUUAAAUUUAUAGUAAAAAUAAAAUAUAAAUAAUUUUUUUCAUUAAUUACAUUAAUGGACAUUUUAUCUUCUGCCCAAAAAAAAAAAGUAAUGGGCUUAGUACAGUUACUAGAAAGUUGAAAUUUGUAAAAGAGAUUAAUCUUAUCCUUGAUAAAGAAGCAAAAAAGAGAUGUACUGUUGUGGAGAAUCCUUGUGUUUGUAGGCCCCAUGUGAUUUUUUAGUGGGCCACCCUUGUUCUCCACUAGCAAUGCAAAAUUUUUCUUCCUUUUGAUAAAGAAGCAAAAAAGAGAUGUACCGUUGUGGAGAAUCCUUGUGUUUGUAGGCCCCAUGUAUUUUUUAGUGGGCCACCCUUGUUCUCCACUAGCAAUGCAAAAUUUUUCUUCCUUUCAGAAUUGUGACGAGGAAGUUGUUUUUUUAAAAAAACAAAAAAUCAAAAAUAAAAAAUUGAAAAACAAAUUGUUGAAAUUAUUUAAUUAUUUUAAAAAAUUUUAUGUGUAAAAAUAUACUUUAACCUUAAAUUAUUUUAGUAUUUUAAUUAAAAUAUUUUUAAAACAUUUUUCAACAAUAAUAUUAACAAAGCUCCGUACACAUUAUAAAAAAUAUUAUUUAUUUACCAGCUUAUCAUUUUAGUAUUUAUUUUUUUUAAAUGAAAUUAAAAAUUGAGAAAAUAAAAAUAUAUCGGCACUUAUUAUCAGACUAAAUUUAUGAGUGCAUCAUUUUAAUAUUUAUUAGCAUUAAACUAAUAAAUUAAUUAAUAAUCAAAUAUUCUAAAUUUUUUAGUAAUUUUAAUAAUAAAUAUAUUUAUAAAUUACAUUGUAUUAGAUAUAUCUAUUAUUUAUCAAUUAUUUAUAAAUAUUUUAAGUAAAUACGAAAUUAUUUAAAAUUUAAAUACUUAUAAAUUUAAAAAUAACUGAUAAUAUUAAGUAUUUAAAACUAAUUUUCGUAAUUUAAGCUUAAUUUCAAGCAUAAAAAUUACACACAGAGUUAGACUCUGAAAUUCACUUUUCUUUCUUUGUUACAGAAUAAUAUUGCUUAGAAUUCCAUCGAUCUAAUUUUCAAACAUCAUAUAUAAUGAUCUGAGAUCCAGAAAUAGGGUUUUUACAAUGGGCUCUGUAAAAUUUAGAAAAAACUUAAAUCUAGAGAGGAGUAUUUCUCCUUUUAUAUGUUUCCUUUUGUCUGCUAGUGAUGUGCCAACAGAACGAGUAUCAUUAGACCACAUGUCCCUGCUACGCUGAUACGGACGUACGAGGGAAUCAGAUCUCUGCCCCAUGCAUAACGGCCUCUGAUUCUCUCUGUGCACGUGUAGGCGGGUCUACGAGGCGGAUGGAUGAAUACUUCUUCGGGUUCUGGGCUGGGCCGGAGGAUAGGAACAAAGCUGGGCCCAAAUGGGAUCGGCCCGAGGUGCAGUGAAGACGAGGCCGGCCUGGUGGAGAAAGCCAGAUGAAGCCCGGUUGUGAGGCUGAGCGGACUGGACCUAGUUCGCGUGAGUGGCUUGAAGAUUUCUAAGUAAUUGACUAUUUUCAUGGAUCUGACCCUAAACUAGAGUGAGGUGAGCCCAAAGGUCAUCAAUAUAUAUUCAAAAAGGCUUAAAAUUAAAAAAAAAAAGCCUAAACUUUAAAUUUUUUAAUUAUCUUUUUUUUUUUUACUUUUAUCAAUUUAGUGAAGGAAAAUGAAAUAUACAUAUAAUCUUAUAUAACUAUAUAUAUCAAUUAAUAAGAAGAAAAAAAAUUCUUUUAAUUAUUUAAAUGAAACAUGCAUAAAAUAUUUUUUAGAAAAAAAAUUAAAUUCUAAUGAUCAGAAAAUAAAAGAUAUUUAUUUAAAAAAUGAAAACUAAAGUUAUUAAUAUUGCUUUGGCUUUAAACCAUCGGACGACGACGUGACACAAAAAGGGCAAGUGGACAAUCAUGCAUGCAAUGAAUCACGUUACCAUGAACUCUAUAUAAAGGGCAGUGCCAUGAGAAGAGCAAACCACACAAGCACUUCAAAAUCUUAACACCAUCGAUCAACAUGGCUUUGGCUUUCAAACACUCUCUUCUUCUGGGGAUGCUCGUCUUCCUCAUAGCCCUGUUGGCUCUUACUGAGCCAGCAAUGGCUGAUGAUGUUGAUGCUGUCCCUGAUAACUUUAACCGUACUUAUUUUCCAGAUGAUUUCAUUUUUGGCACAGCUACUUCUUCUUACCAGGUAUAUUCAGACCUUCAUUUUUAUCUAUGCUCUCCCAUUGUCUAUUUGUUCCCUAGUUUGCAUUAUUUGCUUUGCUUCUUUCUUCUGUUUAUAAAGUUUGCUUAAAAUAAAUAAUAUUCAAUUUUACAUUAGAUCGAAGGUUCAACAAACAUAUCUUGCAGAGGACCAAGUGUCUGGGAUACAUUUACUCAUGAAUAUCCAGGUACGAUUAAAUGCAUAUCAACAUAUGAUAUAUACGUGCAAAAUAUUAAUUAUUUAUAUAUAAUCUUGCAGAAAGGAUAAAGGACCACAGUAAUGGAGAUGUUGCCGUUGAUUUUUACCAUCGAUAUCGGGUAUAAUAGUUAAACUUUUUUUUCUAUUUUCUAAAAAAAUCGUUGUAUUGACAACAAUAAAAUUAAACUGCAGGAGGAUAUCAAAAAUGUGAAGAAUAUGAAUUUUGAUGCAUUCAGAUUUUCAAUUUCAUGGUCUAGAGUUAUACCCAGUAAGUAAUUUAUUAUUACAUGAAUAUUACUCGAUAUAUAGGAAGUACUUUCACACUUGUUUAUAAUAUUAAUUUUAAAAUAUUCAGGUGGAAGAAGAUCUGAAGGAGUGAACGAGGAGGGCAUAAAAUUUUAUGAUGAUGUUAUCAAUGAAGUUCUAAGAAAUGGUGAAAAUCAUCUUCUUUUCUCUUAAAUUUUGUGAAUUAUGGCUUUAAUAUCUGGAAAACGUAUUCAAAAUAGUAAUAAAGGGCCCUGGUGAAGUCAUCAUAUUAUUACAUCAAAUUUCUAAUUUUUCUUUUUGCUGCGAAAAAUUCAGAACUCAUACCAUUUGUUACAAUUUUUCAUUGGGAUACUCCUCAAGCUCUAGAGGAUAAAUAUGGCGGCUUUUUAAGUCGUAAUAUUGUGUAAGUAUAUAAUUUCAACUAAUAUUUUCAAACUACCAAAAGAAAAAUUUAUGUAUCAGUUUUUUGAAUAUAAUGUUCUCAUCUUACAUAAUGUAUAGGGAUGAUUAUUGUGAUUAUGCGGAUCUUCUCUUCGAAAAAUUUGGUAAUCGAGUGAAGUUUUGGAUGACUUUUAAUGAACCGUGGUCUCUUAGUGGAUUUGCCUAUGAUGAUGGAAUUUUUGCUCCCGGUCGAUGUUCAUCUUGGGUGAAUCGUCAAUGUCGUGCUGGAAAUUCAGCUACUGAACCUUAUAUAGUUGCACAUCAUUUACUCCUUGCUCAUUCUGCAGCUGUUAAUUUAUACAGAGAAAAAUAUCAGGUUGGUGAUUUUUGGAUAUAUUAUAUACAUGCGUAGUUUUUUGUCAAAUACAAAUCUAUCUAAAUUAAUUUGACAUUCUUAUUAUAUUGAUUAUAUAGAAAAUCCAAACCGGCGGGACAAUGGGCAAGAUUGGGAUAACACUCUUUACCUUUUGGUUUGAACCAUUAUCCAAUAGAUUAAUUGAUAUAGAAGCAUCCAGGACAGCACUUGAUUUCAUGUUUGGAUUGUAAGUUUUUCAUUCAAAUUAAUCCAGCUUAUAUACAAAAGUGAUAAAUAAUAUAUAUAAUUUUACUAUAUUUUUCAGGUGGAUGGAUCCUUUAACUUAUGGUCGUUAUCCAAGACGUGUACAAGAUUUAGUUGGAGAUAGAUUGCUCACUUUUACUGAAAAAGAAACUAAAAUGCUUAGAAAAUCAUAUGAUUUUCUUGGGUUACAAUAUUAUACUUCAUAUUAUGCAAAACCAAAUGCUCCAAUUGAUCCAGAUUAUAUUAGAUACAAAACUGAUAGUCGAACCACGACAACCGGUAAGCUCAUUCAGAAAUGUGAUAUAUUAAGAGUAGAAAGAAUAUAUAUGUGGGUUGAUAUAAGUAUCCUUUUUGAAAAAGGUUUUCAUUUAUAACAUGUUUUUUUUCCUUACAGCCUAUGACUAUGAUGGUAACCCGAUUGGUCCACAUGUAAGUGUGUAUUAAAAUGAAAUUUAGUGUAAGAAAAAGAAGAAAAUUGCACAUUUAUGGAUGGUAUCACUGACAUCAAAAUAAAAAUUUGCAGGCUUACUCACCUUGGUUUUACAUUUUUCCAAAAGGCAUUCGACAUCUUUUGAACUAUACCAAAGAUACAUAUGAGGAUCCAGUAAUUUAUAUUACUGAGAAUGGUAAAUAAUUUAUUCCUUUUAUUGUAGAAUUACUAUCGAGCUAUUCACAUUAAUAUUGUGCUUCAAUUUAUUUAAAUUUUCCACAUAUUAAUUCAGGGGUUGAUAGAUACAAUAACGAAAGUCGAACUCCUGAGCAAAUGAGAAAUGAUACAUUCAGGAUAAACUAUUAUAAAGAGCACAUGUGGCAUGCAUUGGGAUCCCUCAAGUGAGUCUAAACUCCAAUAUACUAAUAUAAAGUUUUUUUUAAUCAUUCUUAAUCAAUUUUACUAAUAAAAGUUGGUUUUGGCAGGAAUUACAAUGUUAAUCUCAAAGGUUACUUUGCAUGGUCAUAUUUGGACAACUUCGAGUGGAACAUCGGUUAUACUUCAAGAUUUGGUUUAUACUAUGUUGACUAUCAUGAUCACUUGAAAAGAAUGCCCAAAGAUUCCGCUAACUGGUUCAAGCAUAAGUUCCUGAAGAGCCCUUUGAAGAUUACUUCACAGGAUUCAAGGGAAGUUGGCAAAUACUACAUAAUGUAGUCUUGGUUGAGGUGCCAAAAUUAAAGAGAUAUGGCUUGUGUGUGUCUUGCAAUGAAAUAAUAUGAUUGGGCUACUUCUUAGCUCCAAUGACAUAGCUAGCUUGUGUGGUAAUAGUUUUGUGUGUCUUUGUCUAGCAAUAUUAAAUAACAUCAUUGAGCUUACUGUGAAGCUCCAAUGACGGGUUGUGUUGUAAUAUAUUUUUGAAAUGAAUGAGGAGUUCUUAUCUCCUUUUAAGGAAUUUUAUUAAUAUUAUCAGCCUUUGUAUGGAUGAAUUUUAUUAACAUUUUUUUUUAAGUUUACUGCAAAAAAAACUAAAUAUUUAGAACAAUUGAUAUUUAUAUUUUAAAUUUUAAAUUUUAAAUAAUAAAACUAAAUGUUUUUAAUUUUUCACAAUUAUAAUAAAAAAAUUAAAUUAAAUUUGAAAUAAAAGUAACGGUAAAUUAUAAUAUAAUCUCUAAAAUUUUAUUAAUUAAGUAAAACUUUAUGUAUUAUAUUGUAAUUUAUUGUUAAUUUUUCAAAUUUCAAUUUAAUAUUUUAAUUAUAAUUGUGAUAAAUUGAAAAGGUUUAAUUUUAUUAUGCAAAAUUUAAAAUUUUAGAUAUGAAUGUAUAUUAUUACCAAUAUUUAAAUUUUUUAUUCAAUAAACUUUUUUUAAUAUUGUAGUUACACCAUAUAAAAUAAGCUAUUUUCUUAAAAUAAUAAUGUGUUUAAAAAAUAUUUUUUAUGAAAUAUAUAGAGGGUAAUGUUAUAUUUAAUUUUUAGAUUAUGUUUUAUUCAAAGGUAGACAGCUCCAAUUAUAAAAAAUAUAUAGUUUUUUUUUUUCUAUAAUUUUUAUUUAUCUCUUUUUUUUAUUGCUUUAAAAUUAUUGCUAUUUUUUUAUAUUAUACAUGAUUAACAUAUAAAUUAACUAUUAUAAUUUUAUUUUAUUUAAUCAAAUAAAAAUAAUUUAUUUAUAUUAAACUUUUAUAUGAAUUUAGUAAAAGUAAUUCUCAAGGGACAUCAAGUACAAGUCAUGUCCUAAUCACAGGGAUAAAAUAAUUGCGAUUCACAUCCAUUCAUCAAUAAUGGUCCUUGUUUACUCGAUAAAUAAUAAUGUAUUUUUUUCAGGACGGUUAUUUAAUAAAUUUGAUUUAAAAUUAAAUUAAAUUGAAUAAGUUAAAAGUUAAAAUUUUAAUAUUUAUAAAAAUUGAAUUAAUUUUGAAUAAAAUUUAAAUUAAAUUAAAUCAAUUUAAUUUAAUUUAAUUCGAUUUCAUUUGAUUAGUUAAAUUUUUUAAUAAUUUUUUUUAUUUUUAAUAUUUUAAAAUUUAAUUAAAAUUUUUUAAUUUUUAAUUAUAGUCUAAUCUUUUAUAUUAUUAAAAAUAAUAUAUUAUUAUUAUUAAUCGGUUCAGUUUAAUUUUUUAAUUUUUUUAUAAAAAUUAAAUCAAACCGGCUAAAAUUUUUAAAAUUAUAAAAUUCAAUUGAGUGGAAAUUUAAAUCUAAGCAAAAUGCCUUACAUUCUUAGAGGGAAAAUUUUGAGGGAGCAGGAUGGGUGCAGGACAAGGAGGAAAAUAUAGAUUUUUUUUCAUUUUUUUAAGAUAAAUGAAAAAUAAAAUCUCAAAUAAAAAUAAAUUUAUUUUUAUUGUAUAUAAAAAAAAUAGUUUUAGUUAAUUCCUAUUUAUCAUCUUGGAAAUUUACAUAAAUAAUUGAAAGGUAUAUAUAUGAUUUUAUAAAUUUUCUUUAAAUUGAAAAAAAAUAAAUAGAAAAAAAUUAUUUUCAAACACAAAGAAUAGUUAUUCUUUUUCGAUUUUUUUUUAUUUAUUUCAUUCCUGUCCCAUAUAAAAUAUGGGUAAUUUUUAUCUGUAAUAACUGAAUUUUAAUACUUGUUUUAUUGUAAUUAUUAAAUUUAAUUUUUUUUUCAUAAAAAGCAUUAAUUUUUUAUUUGAACUUCAAAUGGUAAAUCUCGUCAGAAUUUAAUAGAAUCUCUAAUUGGAUUUUUACAUCGACUAAUUUUACUUAAAAGAAUUUACCAUGUGAGAUUAUAAAUAUCUUUCUAAUCUACUGGGUAAUCCGUCUCUAUCUAAAUUGAAUAAUAAGAUGAAGCCAGAGCUGACUUCACAAGUGUGAGGAUGUAGCUCAAAUGGUAGAGCGCUCGCUUUGCAUGCGAGAGGCACGGGGUUCGAUCCCCCGCAUCUCCAGUGCUUUUUAACAGCGAAGAAGCCCAGCCCAGCCCAGCCCAUGUCACGUGCCAAUUGAGGCUUUCAUGAGCCCAGUUUUUCUAGAGCUUCAAAAACCACUUAAAUUUCAGGCUUUUCGUUUCUUUUUUUUUGUCAAAUACACUGGCUUCGCUGAAUUUCCUGCAACUCUCUAUAAAUCUUCACAUGAAAACAUUGUUUUUGAGAUUGAGAAUUCACAAUCCACAUUAGAAAAAAGUUAAAAGUAUUCUCAAUGUCAAGAGAAAUUCUAAAAGAAAGCAGUGAGUCAUUUCAUAAGGCCACAACCAGCUGGGGUGAUGCAUAAUAAUAUAACUGAGAGUAAACUCAUGGAAGGUAGCUGUCUCUUUCAUAUCUCAGCAGUGGAGAUGUCUAUUUUCUGCCAUAUAUAUAUAAAUAUAAAGGCACUUGAUAUCUGCUUUUGUGCAGACAAUACAGUCGCUCACUAUUUUGUCCACAAAAUGAUGCAUUUUGGAUAAAUUUUUUCUGUAAAAGAGUACGUGAAGGAAAAUGAUGAUUUCCUUUCAUUUCUUUUCUUUUUACUUUCUUUGAUUUUCAUGUGUCCAUUGAAUGUAAGGAUAAAUGUAAAAAUUUUCCCGGAAAGAAAGAGGGAGCAAAAUAUAUACAAAUGUUAAAAAGUAGGAGUGAAGACAAUUUUUAGCAGAAGUGAUAGUUUGGCGGACAGAUUUUUAGCAGAAGAAAACAAUAAUGGCGGACCCAAAAAUACUGACAUUUUUAUGGGUUGUUUAUUAUGGAAAAUUUUGAACUGCAGUGCAGUAUGGACCAGAACUUUGGAUAAGCCCUUUUUUUCUGCAUUAAAAAAGCUUGCAGCAGACAGACAGAGAGAGACCUGCAAUCUGUUAAAUUAAUUAAUUAGUAUCUGCAACUCCAAAAUCCCACAGCUUCCAUUUUUUUCAUAUAAUUAAACUUAUCAAACUUUCAACUUUAUUCAACACAGAGGUGUUAUGGCUUAUAAUAAUCUUUUUUUUCUUUGUUGAAGUGAAGUGGGUGUCAUAACCGAUAAAAGAAUGAGAGGUUUAUAAUUUAGUAUUUAAUUAUUAUUUUUAUUAAUAAAUUAUUAUCUAAAUUUUUAAAAUUUAUUAUAAUAUUUUUAUUUUUUUCUCAAUUAAAUAAUUAUUUCAUUUUAUCUAUUUUUAUCGUUAAAAAUAUAGCAAAAAAUUAAAUUACCAUCUAUAUUCUCGUACUCCUACCCCUUACCCUCUUCUUCUUUCUCUUCUCCUCCUUCUCCUUCUCCUUCUCCUUUUUUUAUUUUUUUUCUUCAUUUUUUUUCUUUAAGAAAAGAAAAAGAAUGUGCGGCACUUAAUUUGAACACCUUCAAAUUAAGUCAGUCUUAAGAAUCACCCGAUUAUUCUGUGAACAUGAAUACUCUGAUUAGUCAAAAUUAUAUAAGCGAACUACGAAGCCAACAUACUGCAUUCCAUUAGAAGUCUCACAGUAAGCAUAAAAGAUAAGAACUGAACAUAAGAAUUCAUAAACGGAUUACUUAUUUUAUUACAGGGAUAAAAUAGUAAUUAUACAUUAUCAUUAAUGUAAUCGUUAUAAUAAUUCUUAUAUUCCCUUGUAGACAGGGGGACGGUCUAUAAGGAGUGAAGGCACAACUUGGACUUUCAUAUUUUUCUUCAUUAUCAUCUCUCCUAAAUUUUUUUCUUUUUUUAUGAGAAAAAAAAGAUUAUUUUAUUAAUAAAAAAAAUAUAAAGAUAUUUCUGAAAAAAAAUAAAAAUAUUUUAAUAGAUUUAAAAAAAAUAAAAAUAUUUUAAUAAAUAUAAAAAUUUACUUGUUAAUAAUGACAAUACUUAUAAAUUAAAUAAAAAUUGAGAAUAAAAUUAAAUUUUAAUAAUUUUUUCUUUUAUUUUUUAUUUAUUUUUAAUAAAAAAAUAAAAUAAUUAUUUUACGUAAAUAAAAAAAUAUAAAUAUUUUAAUAAACUUUUAAAAAUAUAAAAAUUAAUUUAAUAAUAAUAAUAAUAAUAAUACACACAUAUUAGAUAAUAAAUUUUCUAAAAAAAACUAAAAUGGCAGCAAUAACGGACUAUCCAUCACUUUCGCAAUCAAUCAGGGGGAGAAAACGAAGGAAAAAAUUUUACCAGGAAAAGUGAUGUCAUAGCAGUAUGUGAACAGUGAGUUCCAAUCAUGGCUUUUGGAUUGUAGUUCUCUUCUGUAUACAUCCAUUGCUGGUCCUCCCCCCCUGUUUUUCAACUUUUCUUUUGGCCACCUUCUUUCUUGUCCACAGAAUUGUUUCUUUCGCUCUUCUUAGGGUUUAUACUUAAUUUAUUAUAUAUAUAGUAAUUUUAUAUUAUCCUUUUUUAGUUUUUAAUAUAUUUAAUAUUUAAAUUUAUUAUUUCCUUAAUUUUAUACUAUAAAUUUAUUUUUUAAUAUUUAUAUGUAAGUCAAAAUUUAAAUUUUUAUUAAUAGUAAAUUAAUUUAAAUAAUAAUAUUAUUAUAGGUUUAAAAUUUAAAUUUAAUUAUAAAAUCAUUAUUCACUUAUAAAUUUAAACAUAUAAAAUUAAAAUUUUAUUAACUUUAAAUUAAUUUAAAUAAUAAAAUCAUUAUCUAUUUUAAAAUUUAUGUUUAGUUAUAUACUUGUAAAUAAUUAGAUAGUUGUAGAUUACAUAAUAUUAUUUAUAAUUGAGAUUUUUAAAUGUUAAAAUUUAUUCAAAUUCAAUAACUUAUUAGUAUAUAAUAAGUAAUUUAAUUCUUCUAAAUUUGAAACUAAUUAAUAUAAAUUAUUAAUAUUAUUUUUAUAUUUUAUUAAAUUUAAUCAUUAAUUAAAAUUUAUUUUUCUUUUCUUGAUUCAAUAAAAUAAGAAGUAAAACAAAUCAUGCAAAUUGAGAUUGUGUUCAUUAAUUAGAAAAAUCAUUUAUUUUAUUAUUUAUUGUUUGAAUAUAUAAUAAAUACGCGAAUUUUUUAAAUUAAUUUCUAAUUAAUUAAUUAUAUAUAAAUUUAAUUAAUAAAGGCGAUUUAUUUGAAUUAAAUCUACUAACUUCUUAACUAAACUAAUAUGUUAAUUACUGUCUGGAGCUUUCCAUGUUUUGGACUAUAGGUUUACCCAAUAUUAUAAUUUUUCAGUCCGAAAAUUUGUCAAUUCAGGCUUUUUUCAUUCAUUUUCUUAAUUCUUUUUUAAAAAUCAGUUCAAAAUCAUAUUUUAAGUGAAAAUUAAUUAUUUAUAUCUAAAUCAUAGAAUUUAAUAAGAUAAAAGUGAUAAAUUUUACAAUUCAUCAUAAAAUUAUCAUCUACUUUAAAAAUUAAAUUUUAAAAAAUAAAAUUAUUAACUAUAUAAAUAAUUAAAUAUUAUUAUAAAUAAUUUAAAAUUUUAAAAAUAUUACGAGUAAUCCCAUUAUUCCACAUUCUUUUCACUUUUAUGUAUAGUACAGAUUAAUUUUAAUAAUUAAUAUUAAAUUAUAUUAUGCAUUAUUAAUAUUAAAGACAAAAAUAUUUUAAUUAUUUCAUAUAAUAUUAACCGGAGAAUAAUUAAUUCAGUAUAUCAAUUUAUAUUAAUUUAAAUUAAUUUGAGAGGUCUAAAUUUAUCGUUUUAAAUAAUAAAGAUUUUCCAUUUAUUAAGAUGAUUUAGUUUACUUAGUAUGAAUUGAUUAAUGAAUUGAAAAUAUAGAAAUAUGAAUAAAAAGCACAAAUUAAUUUCAAAUUUUACUAGAAAAUUCAGUAUAAUCAGCUCCAUAAUAUGGAUGCUAGCAGGCUUUACUCAUGCAAAUUAUGUUAUUAAAUUAUUAGGGUUUGAUUUUUUUUUUUAUUAAAACACUAAUUUAAAAUUAUUUAUUUUAAAUAUAAAUUAGAUUGACAUGAGAGAGAGAGGAAAUAAGACAUGGUUAUUUGAUAUGGUGAUGAUAUAGAGGCAUAGUGUUUGGUGAUAUAGAAAAACUAUAUUGAAAGUAGAGAUUCAAACAAAAAGGCUUCAUUUCCAAUUCUUCAUUCAUACACACACUCGUGCAAUCUCGGAAACACAAAACUAUUAAGACUUGGACUUGGUCAAAUUAAUAACUUUUUUUUUCAAAAAAAAAAAAAUCUCUAUACUUAUAUAAAAAUAAAUCUGUUACAGAAUUAUACAUAAAUUUAAAAUUUUGAUUUGGCAAUUAAAUGGAAAAUAAUAAAAACUAUUCCAUCAUAAUUUUGGCCGUUUAAGCAUUAAAAAUUUAAAAAACAUUAGUUUAAAAUAAAAUAAUAAAAUAAUAUAUUUUUUAUAAGAGCUUUAGAUAUUUUUUUCUCAUAUUUUUUAAAUAAAAAAAAUUUUAUUCAAAUUUAAUAAAAAAACAUCAUCGAUAACUAUUUAUAGGGUAUGCAUUCGAUCAGUUCGGUUUAAAAUCGAACCGAACUGAAUAAAUCAAAAAUUAAAAUUUUAAUAUUUAUAAAAAUUGAAUCGAAUUGAUUUGAUUAUAAAUUAAAUCAAACCAGUCUGAUUCAGUUUGAUUUAGUUCGAUUUAAAUUUUUAAUAAAUUUUUAUUUUUUAUAUUUUAUUUUUAGUAUUUUAAAAUUUAAUUAAAAUAUUUUAAUCUUAAUAUAAUCUGAUUUCUCGAAAAUAAUAUAUUAUUAUAACUAAUUGAUUCAGUUCGAUUUUUUAUUUUUUAUUUUUUUUAUUAAAAUCAAAUCGAAUAAAAAUAAUUAAAAAUUUUAAAAUUAAAAACUGAAUCGAAUUAAGAUGAAUAAAAAAUCGAACUGCAUUUUUAAAUCAAUUCAAUUUGAUCAUUUUUUUGAUUUAAAUUGAAUACUGUUGACCUCUAAGUACUUGAAAGCAAUUUAACACAAAACAUUAAAAAAAUAAAAGAAUUUGAAUUUAACAUUUAUAAAUAUUUUAUGUUUAAAAUAAAAUAUUUUUGAUCUAGAAGCUGGUCAGAUUGUAAAAUACUAUGGUUUGAUUCAUCCAAAACGUCUUAGAAACUAGCAAAUGAAAUCCAAGAAGUAUAAAUAGAUUCAUUUAAUUAAACGCUUAACCUAAGUUUUGUAGAUAUAGAGAACGUGAAUUAUUUGGGAAAUGCAAUUUGUUAUUUUUCACAAUCCCUUCAUUACUAUUUUAUUUAUUUAUUUAUUUAUUUUAUAAUUUGGGUGGUGGUCAAACUUAGCUGCAAACAAAGAAGUGUUAAUUAAAAAUUAUUAAGUAAUUAAUUAUGGUUUGAGAAAAAUCAAAUCACAAUACCCCUCACUAAAUUUUAUAUACUUGAGAAUAUGAAAUGGGUUUGAAAUUUGAGCUCUGUUUGUAAAGUCUUAGCUAGCUUCCAUUUUCGAGAAGCUACGUGCAGUGCAGUGAUUUCUUUAAUAGUAAUUUAGCCACGGACCAUAUUCAUAUGCAUACAUACAUCAAUAACUUCUAUGCAUGCAUAUAUACUUCCAUGCCCAUACAUCCUUGAGUAGAUACGUACUUUUUUUCUUUCCAUAAUUUUUUUACACUUCUUUUAUAAAUAUUAAAAAAAUAUUUUUUUUCAUUGACAUUUUAAUUAUAUUAUUUUUAAAAUAUUAAAUUUCAUUAAAUAUUAAAAAAAAUUUUAAAAAAUCUUUUAAAACUAAAAUAAAAUUAAGAGAAAAAUACAACGCAAUAUUAUAUGUGAUUUUAUCAAUUUUUUAUUUUAAAAUUUAUAUUUUAAUUUAUAUUAAAAUAAUACCUGUAAUAUUAAAUAACGGUAAUUUUUAAAUUUUAUUAAAAUUGUUAAUAUGAAAAUCAUACAUCAAAAUAUUAAUUUAAUAUAAAUUAAAUUAUAAAUUUUAAAAUAAAAAAUAUAAAAUUACAUAAUAUUUUAAUUAAUAUUUAUAUUUUAUUUGUUACGAAAUCAAGAAUUUAAUGCUAUUUAUUAUGACAUGAUAUUAUAAAUAUUAUUUUAAUAUAAAUUAAAUUAAAGAUUCUCAAGUUGUUUUUAUACUUUUUUUAAAAUUAAAUUAAAUUAUAAUCCAUUCAUAUGUUACUCCCUCAUUUCUAUCAUUUUUAUACACUUUAUUUUUAACAUAUAUUUAAAAAUAUAAUUUUUUUAUUAUAACUAUUUUAAAUAUAUUAAGUUUUAUUAAAUAUUAAGUAAUGUUUUGAAAAAUUUCUUAAAAACAAUAUAAAAUUAAAUAGUAUUAUAAUAAUUAAUUUAUAUAUUAUAUAGUCUAAAAAAGAAAAUGAUACUAAUUUUAAGAUAAUAAAAAAAUAAAAUGAAGGUAAUAUUAUAAUGUAAGAAAAAAGUGAAUAAUAAUUUUAAAAAGAAAAUAAAUAAAAAUUAUAAGAUAAAAAAACUUAUAUUUUGUAAUAAUACUUAAAAGCAAUUUGCAACUCUUAUUUACAAAAACUUUAAAAUUAUUCAAAUUCAAAUAAUUAUACAAAAAUAAAAUAUUUUAAAUUUUUUGGAAUCAGUUUGAUGACUUCAAUGAUUUUUGGUCAACGAAAAUCAAUUCAUUUUGAUUUACUCAAUUAUCUUGAAUUUUAAUUCAAAAAUUAUAUUUUAACAUAAAAACACAUUGUAAUCAAUAGAUUAAUAUGAAACUAAAGCAAUUCGAUAAAUUAUCUGAAUCGAUUCAUAAUUUAAAAUUAGUGAUCAAACGUAAAUCUACUUGAAAAUAAAUAAAUAACUCAAAAUUUAAAAUUUUCUAAAUAACAUUCUCGACUAAUUAAUAAUAGCAUUAUCUAGAAAUAUAAUUUUAUAAUUCAUCUUAAAAUAAAUUAACACUUUCUUUCUUUUGUUUUUUUCUUGGUGUUGUAUUUCAGCAAAUUUAAAGUUAAAUCACAUGAUCAAUAUCUACGUUAACAUGUGGCCUGAAAUUGAAGGAUUAGUUCCCAUUGCAUCACCCAUUUAAACGCACACCAACAUUUCCCGGUGUUUUCGGCUUUUUUUUCUCAACCCUUUUCCCUUUCUCUUUUCUUUUCCUUUAUUCAGUAUAAUUUAUUUUAUAAAAAAAAUGAAUAAAUUUUUAUAAAAAUAUAUCUAAAUUUAUUUUAUAAAAAUAUAAAAAUUUUAUAAAUUAAGAAAAAUAAUAAAUUCUUUUAUUUUAAAUAAAAAAUUUAUUGUAAAAUUUUUAUUUUAAAUAAUAUUAUUAUUUUUCGCAAGAAGUUCUCCUUUUUGGAAAAAUCUAGGUUCUUCUACAAUGUUAACUAAAAACAAAUUUGAGAAAGACAUUUCCCUUACGCACACAACACUUUUGAUUGAAUUCUAACUUGACAUUAUUAUGCAUAUGCUUGUUCAGCACUAUUAUGUUCAGUGUAUUAUAAUAAAUUUAUACUGGAAAAUUUCAGAUUUUUAAAAAUAAAAAAAUUAAAAUUGUAUAUAAUAGUCGGUAUAAAUUAUUAAAUAAUUUAAAUUAAUUAUUUUGAGUCAGUAAAAUAUAUUAUAUAAUUUAAUUUUUUAUUAUAUUUUUAUAAAAUUAAAGAAUUUAAUAAUUACAUCAUAAAUCUCAAAUAAAAUGGAAAAAUGACUUUAUAAAUGAAGAUAGUCGGCCGAUCAAUUACAUCCAUAACUUUAGUACAUCAUAGUGCUCGUUAAGCUUUGAUUGUCAAAACUUCUUUCUUAGACACAUAACUUUGUAUUUCCCUUUCAUUUUCAUGCCAGUAUUUACUCAACACGUGUCACAUAUAAAAUGCAUAAUUAUUUAUUGGAAUUUCAUUUUUUAACUUCAAUGUGUCUGCCUAAUGUGAUGGCCACGUGUCACAAUUGUGUUAAUCCUGGAAAGCUUGAAGGAGUGGAUUCACAGAAGGUGACACUUACUCAAGAGUUAACAUCAAACGAGGAAGAUGACAAAAAUUGAAAAGGACAUUGUCUAUGACUAUGAAAUAUCAUGAGAUGUUUACACUUACCUAGCAUUAUUAAAGUAUUUUGAAAAGUAUUCGAUUAGGGUUUUAAUUCAUUGAUACUGAAGUCGUGUUUAAAAUUAAAAUUUUUUAAAUUUAAAUCGAUUAUAUAUAAAAUAAUAUUUUGAAAAGCAGAAUGAGACCUUUAAGAAUAAAUUUAAUUACUAUUUAGCAUGUGAUUGGUGAAUUAAAGUACUUAAACAUUGGACAAAGUACUAAUUUAUCUGUCUGAGAUUUUGGCUUAAUUGUUGCCUUUUAUUGAGCUAGCAAGGCAAUGUUGCUAUAUAUCAUGAUGUGACUUACAAGUUUAUAUACAUGAAGCUCAUAAAUUUGUCAAUUAGUAUCUUUGCCCUAUUUUGCCUUAUUAUCUCUAUUUUUAUAUGUAUAUUUAUAACAUUAAACGAUUAGUUUUAGCAUAUUUAAAUAAUUAAUCAAACGAUAUUAAUUAAAAUUUUUGAUAAAAUUUAAUUAAUUUUUUAUCAAUUUGCAAUGCAUAUGAAAAAUGCAAGAUCAUGCUCUUAAUAUUAUUAGAGAAAUAAAUUUAUAAUACUUUAAAUUGAAUAAUUUAUUUUAAUUUUAUUAUAAUUUCUUUAAUUGAAUAACUCACAAGAGAUUUAAUUUCAAAACCCAAUUAGCAAAAUUGCUUUUCAUGUUGUGUUGACUUUAGUUUUGUUUUGAAAUGUCAUAACAUUGAAAAAACACAAAAAUUAAAAGUGAAUAUUCUAAAAGAAAUAAAUAGAGUAACUCUCAAUAUCAAAAUUUCAUGAAGAUUUAGAGAUAUAAGGAAAUCAAUUAGGCUAUCCUCUAAUUGGCUUGAAAAUAAUUUUUAAUUAUCAUAAGAGUUUAAAAGCUUAAAGCCAUGCAUGUACAUAUCAAACACAAUGCACACCCACCAAAGCGAUUGCCGGAUGGGUUACUUGUUUGCUUCAAGCAAGAUAUAGAGAACAGUUAAAAUAUUACAGAAUGUUUCCUCUCCUUCUCUCUCUAUCUCUCUCUCUUCCUCUUGUGUGUGUGGUGCAAUGUUUUCUUGACAGACAACCUGCUAUCUAGUCUAAUCUAUGACUUUGUGUCUUUUGCCUUUUUUUUUUUUUUUUUUCUUACCACUUUCAUCUUAAUUUGCUCUCAGGUAUAAUUUCUUGACUUCUUCACUGUGAACCAUCACUCUCUCUCUCUCUCUCUCUCUGUUUGUUUAUUUAUACCAUUACCCAUACAGCCAAAGUGCCAAAUCAAGAAUCUCUCAACUCUUCUUUUGUUCUCUUGCAUCUUUCACACCAUGGCAGACCCUUGCUCUAAUCUUUUCAAUGGCUGGUUCAACUUUAUCCCUAUUCAUUCUAACUACACUUCUGUUUUCACUUCUUACUCAAAUCCCCCUCCUUACAAUUUCAAUCUCUACUCAAACAACCACCUCUUCAACAACAAAUCUCCCAUUCAAUAUCAAACCUAUCAUCCUCCUCCUCCUCCUCAGAAGGAAGCUCCUCCUCCAUUAAUAGAGUACUUGACUCCUCCAAGACAACAAGAAGAGAUAAGUCAUGAAUCCUCUAGUAAUAAUUCCAUGGAAGAUGACAAGAACAUGAAUAAGAAAGAUGCUGAUGAUGAUGAUGAUCAUGCGACUGUAGCUCUACAUAUAGGGCUUCCUAGCCAUAGUUCUAAUCUGGGUUCUAGGGUUUUUUCCCACCCAUCAACAGAAGAAGGGAGUAGUGCAGUUUCAGAAGGGUACCCUUUGCAGAAACUAAGCAAAGGUCAAUAUUGGAUCCCUACACCUUCUCAGAUUCUUAUUGGUCCUACUCAGUUUUCAUGUCCUGUUUGCUUCAAGACUUUCAACAGAUACAACAACUUGCAGGUAUGCCCCCAUUGCUCCAUUGCCCCAUUGCAUGAAACAUGUCUCUUGUUACUUGUCAAUCUCGUUUUUCUUUACUCUCUCUACUUUCUUUUGAGCUGGAUCUGAUAAUUUCCUUUUCUAUUGUAGCAUCUCUCUCUUCUUGAUUUAACUAGAUUUUUAUUACAUACGUAAUUUGAAGAUUACACAUGUUGUUUUAAAGUAAAACCUAGAAGUUAUGAACUUAAAACUUGAUCAGUUGGGUCUUGAUUUGGAGUCUGCAAAAAGAAGUAAAACCUGCAAAAAAGCACAGUGCUUCAAGGUUCUUUAGCAGUAGCUAGCUGAACUUAAUAAAAAGUUGGCCUCAGCUUUUAUCUGCACUCUUCAGUCUGAAAAAUUACUGUUGAAUGGUCGUAGCUACAUUACUAUUCCUCUUCCAUGUCUGUGAAUAGUACAACAUCUGGAUUCAGACUUUUUCCACCAAAACCUUGGCUUCUAAUCUGAACACUACUGUACUCUUCGUAAUUAAUAGACGCAUUGUCUGGUGAACUAACAUAUGCUCUCAUGUUUGAUUGUAAUAAAUCCUGUAGUUCUGUCCUAAAUUGACAACAAUUAAAUUACAAACCUGCCUGUUCCUCUUACAGUCCCAUGAAACUUGUACUAUCACAAAUUGUUUAGCAGUUUUCAGCUUAUUUUAAAAGAUUGUUUUGCAUGUCUAUAUGUAUUAGCUUCUUGUUUUUUUCUUUCAUUUCGUUAGUUAUGGUUAAGACGAGCAUACGAAAUCUCACAAAUUUAAAAUACCCUCUAGUUAUUCAUAGCAGCUUAAUUUUAAUUUAAAAUAAUCAAACUUAUUAGCUUUUGAGUUUCCCACGUGAAAUAAGGACCCAUGUGGGACUUUUUUUUAUGAUCCUUAGCUUUCUCAUGAAUUUCCCCUCCCUCUUUCUCUCUUACACUCAUUUCCCACUAAAAUUUUUUCUCAAUUAGUUAUGGAGAGGAUGUUGAAAUUAACUUUUGUUUUGGGAAUUAAAAACUAGGGUUUCUUGCUGUUGUACACUUUUAAUAGUGAUUCUUUUCGACUAAAAUUUAAUCACAAAAGUCUCUUUUGUUAUAGUAUAGCUAGUCUCUUUUAUCCAUAAAAGAAUUAAUUUUUUUAAUGAUAGAAAGAUCAUUUACAAAAUACCAAGUUUUUUUAAAAAAUUUUGGCACCAUAUUGUUAGGGUUUGAAGAUAGACACUUGAUCACUAGCUCCACAACUCCAAUGGUCCCCUCUCUCUCUCUCUCACACACUAAAUAUGGGUUCUAUCCAUUAUUGCAGAUGCAUAUGUGGGGACAUGGAUCUCAGUACAGAAAAGGACCUGACUCAUUAAGAGGAACCCAACCAACAGGAAUGCUAAGGCUCCCUUGCUAUUGCUGUGCACCAGGGUGCAAACACAACAUUGAUCACCCACGAGCAAGACCACUCAAAGACUUUAGAACCCUCCAAACUCACUACAAGAGAAAACAUGGAAUCAAACCUUUUAUGUGCAGAAAAUGUAGCAAGCCAUUUGCUGUUAAAGGUGACUGGAGAACCCAUGAAAAGAAUUGUGGCAAAAUCUGGUAUUGUAUUUGUGGGUCUGAUUUUAAGCACAAGAGGUCUCUCAAAGAUCACAUCAAGGCCUUUGGUCAUGGCCAUGCAGCUGUUGGUAUUGAUAAUUCUUUUGAAGAAGAUGAUGACUUAGCUUCUGAACUUGAACAUGAAGAGGAGUCAUCACCCUGAAAUUUUUCACCAUGUGAGAGGAAAAUGGGGUUAUAUGUAUCAAUGUGUGGUUUACUAUAUAUAGUUUGUUCAAGCUUGGUAACUUGGGUAAUCCUUUUGCUUUGCUUAUGUAUCUUCCUUUCUGGGAAUAUGUUAUUUUCCAAGUGAUUAUAUCAAUUAGGGCAAAAAUAUGUAAAAAAGAAAUGUAUAUUUAAUAAAAUAAGAACUGCCAAGUUUCUCUUUUUGUUUGUUUCUUUGCCCUUUCCAUUCACAAGGAGAAUAAUGAAUAGAUUACAUGUUAUCAAUCGACUAAAUUCGACUUGAUAUGAGACUUUGAUAUGAGAGUUGAAUUUAAUAUCAAAAGAUAAAAUGGAAUGACACAUAUUUAUUUAUUUUUAUUUAAAAAUAUUGAUUUUGAAUUUCGAAUAUGAAAUACUUUAAAAACUUAAAAAAAUAAUUUGUUUUUAGUGCAAAUCCGAAUUAACCAAGCAAGUGAAUUUCGAAUAUUGGAUGGCUUAUGUAAAAAACAGUAUAUCAAAAUGCGUAAAAACAAUAAUUUGAAAUCUAUUAUAAUUAUUCAUAUUUUAACGAUAGAUAAAAAUUUAUGGCUAAAAUUAUAAUUUUAUUAAAUGUUAAGUAAAAUUUUUUAUUAAAAUAUAUUAUUAUAUAUAUAUAGUAAAAAAAUAAAAUUUUCAUUGUAACAAUUUUAAAAUAUUAUCAAAUUAUUAUUUUAAUACUAUUAAAAUAAUAAUUUUAUAAACGUUAUUGAGAUACUGUGGUGUAAAGCCUAAAAUGUAAUAGUGAUAUACAUAAAUUUAUAUAAAUAUUUAAUCUAAUAAUCAUUAGUAUUGAGUUUUUUUCUCAUAUAUAUAAGCUUUAUUUUUCUGCCGCGAAUAAAAUUUCUUUUAACUGUUAUAUUAUAAUUUGAUUAUAUUUACCAUUUUGUUGUAAAUAAUAAAUUAAUACGUAAAUAUUUAAUCUAAUAAUUAUCUAUUUCAUUAUCGUAUAUAAACUCGAGCAUCCAUGGCCGCACACGUUUUCUUCUACUAUUAUACUAUAAUUUGAAUAUAUUUUCCUUUUGUCAACCUUAUUAUCAUUACCUUUGAAUCCAACAUCCUUAUACAAUUAUUUGGAAGGACACCUCUUCUCUAUACAUGAUGAAGCCUUCAUUUAAACUCUAGCAUGUGUAUCUUUUGUCAUCAAGUUAGAACACUAGUUGCCCUACGUUACAAUUUCUUGUUUCUUACAUUAUGAACAAAAUAAUUUCUCAAACUCUAUGAUUCACUUCCUAAUUUCCCUAUGAUGGACGGAUGAGAUGGGCAGAAAAGCAUAAAAAGUUGGCCCAAGUUCUCUGAUCAUCUCCAAAACUUGACAAGACAAAAUUAAACGUAUGUCAUAUUCAAACUGUGAAGAAGAAGCAUUGCUUGAGGGGUAGUGGUGUAAUGCCCUUUACCCUGAAAAAGAUAACUCCCACAACUGCUUGCUAUUUCCAUGGCGACUCCACAGGUAUAUUUCUUAUUUUCUCUCUCUCAUCCACUCAUUAAUGGGUUCCUUUCUUCUAAUCUUCUGCUCAUUAUACUGUUAAAUUAAUCUAUGUCUUUCAUUCUAAACACCAAUUUUGUCGUUUUAUUAAUUGGUUUGGUUUGUUUUGUAUGAUUCCAAAGUAUGCCUAUUUGUUCCCAUGUCAAAAUCAUUAUAAAAGCAGAAUCUUUGAUUUUGUGCUGAAAAGCAUUAUUCCUCUCAAUUUUAUGAGGGUAUAUUGGUUCAGACAAAACUAGAGGAGAAUGUUAGAAUUUCUGUUCUUUAUUGGAGAGUAAUUCUCCCUUCUCUCACAAAAGCUCUGCUCUAAACUUAAGGGAUCUGAAUCUUCAUAGUAAAUCUGAAUUUCCAAUAGGCAUUCCCUUCUGCUCUGAACUUCGUGGUUUUGAAACUAAAUUGUGUACCAAAAUUCUCAGGUUUUAAUUGUUGGGAUGUCCUCUUUGCCAGCUCUGCUCUAAAAUUAAUGUGCUUUGAACCUUAAUUUUAUUGCAAAAAUCCCAAGUUUUGAAGGUUUAGAUGUCUCCUUGGCCUUUUCCCCUAAAAAGUCUUCAACUUUAAGCGCUCUUAUAUUCCAACUUCCCCAUAAUCUUCCAUAACACAUCCGAGACAGCAAUGGAUUCUCUGCCCUGUAGAGAUGGAGGGCCAGAAGUUUUGAGAAUUCAAGGGAGAUUUAUGAUAAAUCUCAAGUGGAAGUGUAGUGAUGUAUGCAGCUGAGGCAUCUAUGAGGUGUAAGCCUCCCAAAAGGCAUUCCCUUAUGCUCUAAACUGAAUGGGUUUUGAACCUUAAUUGCAUAACAAAAGUCACAAAUUUUGGGGACUCUAGAAAGUCUUAAACUUUGAAAGCCAUUCCAUGUAAACUACUAAGGUCCUGGUGCUUUCUACAUUAUCUGUUGCUCUGAAGUGAUUGUUAUAAAUGAAUGAGAAGAGUAAUAGACUAAAUACUGGAAGUACCAAUUAGAAGAAAAGAUGGAGCUGCUGGUGCUGAGUAUGAUAAAAUGCCCAACUUGUCAAUGAGAAUGGCAUGUUUCCUAAGACAAUGGCUACACUUCCUAUCAGAGAAAGAAACAGUGGCUGAAUAGUGAAUCAGGUUGACCUCCCCUUCUCUGAAGCUGGACUGCAAUUGUGAAUUCAUGAUAGUAUGGUGCCCUAUACCUGAUACCCGAUCCUUAAUAUCAUUAGGUAUAAACCAUAUAUUAAUUGGCAAAGUGAAAUACUUAAACUUAAGCCUGCUGAUGAGUUUAAGAAAGCAAAAUCUAAUCAUAUAAACCAGAACUAAAUGGGAAGCAAAAUUGAGGAAAAGGCUAAAUCAAAAGCUUCAUUUAGUACAGAAAUCUUCCUCUACAUAGAUAUACUUGAUGAUCAAGAACACUCAAAACAAGCAAUAAAGCUUCAACUCAUCUCAUUACAACAAGAAAAAAAAAACUACUUUGUCCCUAAAAGGACCCAACAGUCUUAAAUGAAUCAUGGAGAUGCCUCAAAGUCUCUUCAUCCUUAUUCCACUCAGGAGUUGGUGCAUUAACAAAAUGAGCAUAUAACUUAUUCUUAGCACAAGUUACCUUAAUCAAGCUAUGUUUCCCAAUCCCAUCAAUUUCAUACACAUAAUACAAUUGCCCAUCUUCAUCUUUCUUCUCUUCACUCUUCACACUAUCUGCUCCAGAUAUCAAGUCUUGCAAAUCCACAUCAGACAAGGCCAAAUUGUUUAGUACCAUAUCUUUGGGAGCUAGCUGUCUGAAUCCAGCAAGAAAUGUCAAGUAUUCUUUUUCAGUCCUCUUCUUUGGAUUGUAGAACUCGCUAUCGGUUCCAUUUGUACCCUUUUCAACUUUGGAGACUAGGCGUUCUUUCCAUCCGUCAGGGACAUCGUAGAUGUACUCAGCUGACGCUUUCUUGUCAGAGUUCCCUCCAUAUCCACCGUAAUUGGCCGCGCUGGCUGCGGUGCCGUAAUAGAUGUGAUAGGUUUGUGCUGGGUCCGCGAGGGAAGGACCAGCGGUGGUUAAUAUUGUAGUGGCAGCAAUAGCGGCAGUUAGUGCUGUUGUUAAGAGGGGUUUGUGAGGUGGUAUAGGGAGGUGGGUUUUGGGUGGUGGCGGGAUCUGCGGUGGCUUUUGGGCGGUGGUGGAGGAGGAGAGGCGAGCUGAUGGAGAGAGAAUGGUGGCCAUGAGAUGGGAUUGGCUACUAAUGGAUAUUGUAUUUUAUUUUUCUUUUCUGUUUUAUAUGUUAUCUCCCGAUAUUUGAAGCUUAUGUUGUUCAGCCAAUCAAAUGCCGCCACCUAUCUGGCUAUAUCUCCUGAAAUAAAAAAUUAAAUAGAAAAUGGAAAAUAAUUACAAUUUUUAAUUCUUCAUUUAAAUAUAAAUAAAAUUUUAAUAAAUUUUAAAAAAAAUUAAUUCAAAGAACUUUAAUUUGAGGGAUCAAACUCAAAAAUAAAGAAUUAAAGCUUUAUUAACUUGCGGGAAAUAAUAUUUUUUAAAAUAUACUCUAUGUGAAAAAUAUUUUUUAAUAAAAUAACUUACUUUUUAUUAUUUAAUUUUAUUUAAAAAAUAAAAUAUAUUAAAAAAUUUAUAUAAAAAAUUAAAUUAAAUUUUUAAAAUGGGUAAAAUAAUUUAUCUUUUUCAAAGAGUUGACGUUUUUUUCAAUUAGCAAAAAAUAAUUUUUUUUUCAUUAAAUUUUUGAGUGUUUCGAAAAAUAUUAUUCAACUUAUUUAAAGAUUUAAUUUUAUUUAAUUUCACAAUCAAUAUAGUCAUUAUAAAUUAGUUUUUAAGUAAUAAUAAGUCAAAUAUUUGAUAAAGAAUUCACAUAAUAUUAAUAUUGAUAUUAUUUUAAUUAGAAUCAUUAUUAUAAACUCAGAAUAAAUUUAAAUAUUUUUUAUAUUAAAUAUUAAUAAUGAAGUUUAUGCAAAAUAAACUAAAAAAAACAAAUAACGCAAAAACUAACACCAAAUAAAUAUAUAAUUGCGUAAUAACUUUAACUUAUAAAAUCUCUUAUUAUAAAAAAAACUUAUAAAAUAUCAUAUUAAAAUAUCAUAUUAAAAUUCUAAAGUAAUAUUCAAAAAUAAAUUAACAAUUAUUUUUUUAGACAAUACAUUAAUAAAUUUAAUAAUUAUUAAUUUCUCAAAAAAUUAAAAAAGUUAAAAAUAUUUAAAGUGAAUCUUCUCAGCCACUCAAUUAAAUAUAAACAGAAAAACAAAAUUUAUAGCAUCCCUUUGCCCACCAACCGCCAAAAACUGGAAACCCUAGGCGAUGGAGGGCAGAAAAUUGAGAGAAAAGCUGAAGAGAUGAAACUUCCCUUGAUUAUUCUCUCCAUUAUUACGUAGUUUGCCUCUAAUCCCUCUCUGUCUUUCCUCUUCUAUUCUCUUCUUCCAGCAAUCCAAUUUCACAUACGUACCUUUUAAGUUUCAUAUCAAUGUCUAAGAGGUGAUAUUCCUUUCGUUUUAUGGUGUAUUUUUGUGUUUUGGUUGCAUUUCUUCGUGAGAUUUUAGUUUUUUUUAAGAUUUUUUGUUUGUUAUUUGAUCAUGACCAUAAUGAUUAUUGUGGCUUUUUGAGUCUUCCAUGAGAGAUGAUUGUGUAAUUAGGAGUUCAAUGGGUUGUAGGUAAAAUAGAAUAGAGUUUUUGAAUUUGUUGGUUGUUUGGUUUUGAAUGGGUAAAAUUUGUAUUUUUGGUUUUGAAAAUUGAAGUAGAUUUCCUUCUUCUUCUUUUUUUGUCGAGAAAAAGAAAAACAAUAUUACCUAAAUUGUCUUCUUUGUUUUAACAAGAAAAUUGGGGGUUCUUUUUUCUUCCUCUCUUUGCUUGCAAGUUCUUUUUCCUCUGUAUAUGCUUUUACUCGUAACAAAUUUUUAUUGAUGUGGAAUGUUAACUUCAAUAAAGGAAACUUCUUGAAUCUCACCAAGAAGAAAAUAAAGGAACUUAUUGUUCAUUGUUGAUAUUGGAGAUGCUUUGUGCAUUUAUGCAUGAAUUAAUUUGAGUUUAAUUUGAAGGGACGAGAAUUCUCCUUGUCAUUGGGGAAUGGAGGUGGGGUGGGGUGGGCUAGAGUGUAACGAUCCUCCAUUGAUGAAGGAUGAUUAUUAUCAUAUUAUGUGGGUCCUCUUGUUGUUUUUCUUCAUCUUUCUUUUUUUAAAUAAUUUUGUUUUGUUCCCUUUUUCCAGGGUACUUUGCAAGUUUUUUGCUCAUGGAGCAUGUUUAAAAGGGGAGCAUUGUGAGUUUUCACAUGACUGGAAAGAUCCUCCAAAUAAUGUAAAGAUAUUUACUUCAGCUUGUUUUAUUUUCAAUGAGGUGAUAGUUCUAGUUUUCUCAUUAUUUGUUUAUCUUGUUUAUUAACGCAGAUUUGUACCUACUAUCAAAAAGGAAUCUGCUCUUAUGGCAGUCGAUGCAGAUAUGAACAUGUUAAACUAUCUAAGUUGAAUUCUGCUUCUUCUUCAUCAACAGUUCCUCUCCAAUCUGCGGUAUCAAUUUCUGUUCCUCUUGCUCGUUCCGUGAGAACUGGAUUUGAUAGGGGAACAUCAGCCCCUGGUGCUACUGGAGAGCUUUCUGCUUCAAGUAGACCUUACUUUCCUCCCACUAAGCCAGCAUGGAAUUUGGAGUCAGUACCAAACAACAUUUUAGAAAAUGAUGACAUUAUAGAACCUAGGAAUGUUAAACCAGAAGAGCGUUCUCUCUGUUCAUUUGCUGCUGUUGGUAACUGCCCUCGUGGAGAUAAAUGUCCUCAUAUUCAUGGUGACAUUUGCCCCACUUGUGGGAAACAUAGCUUGCAUCCUUUCAGACCUGAAGAAAGAGAGGAACAUUUGAAAACAUGUGAGAAGAAACAAAAAUAUCUUGAAGCAUUAAAACACAGUCAAGAAAUAGAGUGCAGUGUAUGCCUAGAUCGUGUUCUUUCAAAGCCCACGGCAGCUGAACGAAAGUUUGGGUUGUUAUCAGAAUGUGAUCAUCCCUUCUGUAUAUCCUGUAUUAGAAACUGGCGUAGUAACUCCCCAACUUCUGGAAUGGAUGUCAAUACUGCAUUGAGGGCUUGCCCAAUAUGCCGUAAGCUGUCAUAUUUUGUUGUUCCAAGUGUCAUUUGGUAUUCCUCUAAAGAAGAAAAGCUGGAGAUCAUUGAUAGCUACAAGGCAAAACUAAGGUAAUCUUCUGAUUGUUGUGCAUGCUUGUGCAUCUUGGUCCGAAGUUUAUAUGUCUGAUUUUGGAAUCCUGUAGAAGUACUUUCCAAGAUAAGUGAGUUGAAAUUGAAAGCAUUUUAAGAAGUGUGUCCUUCAGCAUAUAUGUAUAUAUGUAUAUAAAGUAGUGGUUGCAUCAUAGUUCAGAGUUACAUGAUCUUCCUAAUUUCAUAUGGUUACUAGAAAUUUGAGCUGAGAUAUUAAUGGGCAAUCUUGUUAACUCUAAAAGCUGGGUAAUUUGCAUUAGUGUUGCGAUUUUUUUUAUUGUCCCUUUCAAUGACAUAAUCUGAUGUUUAUGCAUUUUCAUUUUUCAUUUUGUUGACAGCUCCAUAGAUUGUAAGCAUUUUGACUUUGGGAAUGGGAGCUGCCCAUUUGGGACAAGUUGUUUUUACAAGGUAAAAUAAUUUUCUUGUUUGAGUUCUGCAGUUGCAAUUUUGAUACUAUGAUGCACCCUUUUUUCUUUCUAUGAGAUCCUUAUGUGUAGAUAUUCCUGUAGCUUGGAUAUUCUGCAUAUAAUUGUUUGUGUGAUUGAAUGCUAACCAACUUCUUAAUGUUUUCUUAAACAUUACAUUUGCUUUCCUCCAUUUUUUUUUAUUUAUUUUUAUGUUUUCAUUUCAAGCAGUAACUUCUGUAUAUCUGCUACGCUGUCUAUGGUUGUCUGGAAUGCUGCCAGCCUGGACAAGCUUUAUCUUUUCUCCUUUGUUGCUAUACAUAUGCCUUUGAGAAGUGACUUAUUAAGUUAUCUAGAAAAUGUUCUGAAAUGAGAAACACAGAAAAGUGAGGUAUGUCAGUCUCUUCAGCAUAGCUGGAGCAUAGUUAUUAAAGGCUCGAAGUGCGGAAGGGUUUUGGGGCCCAGGUACAAGGCACAAGCGUGUGCCUGAGUGAAAGAAGUGCACCAAAUAAAAUCGAAUAAGUGGACAAUUUUAGCUAACCAAGAAGUAUAGGAUGAUAUUUCUUUUCUUUUGACAUUAGUGGCACAUAAUCCAGAAAUAUAUUACUUAAAUAGCAUGUUAAUAUCUUUUUUUGAAAUAAAAAUGAAGAAGCAAUUCACAAUGGUAUAAUUAAAUUACUCGUAUAUUAUAUAACAUUGUCAAUGAUAUUUAAAAAGGAUAAUCUCAAAUAAACUAGAAGUAAAGGAGUAAAGCAGUUAAGAUGAGAAAUAUAAUAAGAGAAUAUUGAAAACAACAUAUGAGCAGAGAGAUUAAAAGUGACCAAUCACCAUUCACUAGUGAUAUUAAGUCAGAGAACUUCUUAGUCAUCAAUAUUGGAUUUUGGUAGAUUGGCAAGUUUCAAAUGAAGAAACUUUUUUUUUGUCAAUGGAAGUACUUGCUGAAGGUGGAAAUGAUGGUGCACGUUCCUAGAGCUUGGCACCUGGAACAAGGUGCACACUUAGGCGCUUGAGUUGUUAAGGCGUUAAGGUUGGAUCCUGGUGAGCCUUCAACAUGAAGCGUGCCUGAGAAUCACCUUUAAUAACUACGAGCUGGAGUUAGGGAAAUAGGUUUAAUCUGGAUGUUAUAAUGGGUGGGUGUUCUGGCGGGCAUGAUUCAAGUUGAGCAUAUUCUUUUUUUAUUUUUCCAGAAAACUGGUUUUUGAAUCUGAAGAACAAAGAAAGUGUGAUGUGAAUUAUAAUGCAAAGGACCAGUGCCAUGCAAUUUUCACUAUAUAUAUAUAUAUUUUUUUUUUUUUUGGAGGAGGGCGAGGGAAAUAUAAAGCUUAUAGGGAACACAUAACCACUCUUCCCUCCUGUAUCUGAGCUUUUUUCUAUUUGUACCAUUCAACGCAACCGGCCUUGAUUGUGAUGCUUCCACCAGCAUCAUGCAACUUAUCUUUCACCAUGAUCUUUUACUGUAUUGUGAUACUUUGUUCUCUGUUUGAAAUGUUACUCUUCUACUAAAAUGUGCAAAAAAAGUUUACAUUUGCUUGGCUAUGGAGUUCUAGCGUCCUUUGCCGUCUAUUGAUUUUUCACUUUUUGCGACGUCCUUGAAGGUGCUUUUGAAUUUACUUCUGAUUACUUUAGCUUCUAUAUAUAGUCCUCAGAAUUAGGAACCUUUGUAUUCAUUUACUUCCAUUGUGGAGAGCAUUAGCAUUGCAUCACCAUACUGUCAAGCAAGGCUCAUACACAUGGAAAUAUCACAGACCCCUCCAUAGAGUCCACGUCCUUGCAGAACAAAUCUGGUGGAUGAUUAAUAUGAAUGCUUUUUUUUAAUGUUUUAAGCACUGAAUUGAAAAAAUGAAUUGGACACCUUUGAAGCUGAGGAUUUCUUUUAUGAGGAUUAUGCGGGUUUUUUUUAUUAGUGCUAUUGGAUCAGGCACAACUCCAGUGAUGAUGAAGAUUAUCUGUUCUAAGCUUUUAUAUUUAACCUUAUUGCAAACUUUUCAUUCAUCUGAGGGAAAUCUCAGAGUUGGUGUUUUGGCUUUUAUCCUCCUAUAUUUUAAGUAUUUUGGAAUAGCAGAAGCUUGUAGUUUGUUACUUAACAACAGGUAUUCAAAGUUGAUGUCCUGUCGUGAACUAAACUGUGGGAAAUCUAGGUUGCUUGACAGGAAGUUGUUCCAUAUAUUUUUAUGUUUGUAGCACUCUGGUGUGAGAGGUAGACUUCUUGGAAAUGUGUUGCUUGGUUGAUGUAUUGUCUUGAACUGAACUGAACGCUUGGACUUCGGAGCACAUGCUUCAGCUAUAUAAUAUUUAUGAAGAGUCUGAAAUUCUUAAAGUUCCCAUCAUUCUGCAUUUAUAAUUAUCUGUCUCAUAGUAUUUCCUGCCUUUUUAAAGUUUUUACUAAUACCUUUAGGUAGAUGUUUUCUGGAAACCUUUACUUGAGCUGUAGUUCUAAUACUGGGUAGCAAUUGUUGAAGAAAUGCAUCAUUUUUGUGUUGGAUUUCCUCCCAGCCUCUUUUUUCCCGUACUAUGUCUUUUCUUUCAGGAAGGAUGGAAGUUUAAUACAGUCGACGAUAGUUUCUUGGUUAGGAGUUGCUCUUUUUCUCUAUCUUCCUUCUUUUUGUUACUUUGGGGGAAGGCCUAAGUGGAAGCUGCUUUCAAUUAUAUUAGGAAAUACAAAAGUAGGUUUAUAUAAAGCAGAGGACAAAAAUAUGCUAGCAACUGUUGUGUUAUCACGUUGUUUGGCUGUCAUUGAUAGCACAUUAUAUUUCUUCCAAAAUGUAGGCCUAUGGUUGAUGUUGUUAUGCAAUGGCAUAUGUUUUCCUUUUUGAGUAAAUACUAUUAUUCUAAUUGGUUUAGAAUCUCCAGUCAAUUUUGCUUUAAAACAUUGACUGUUACAUAUUAUGGUAUUCUAACUUUGCAGCAUGCAUACCGAGAUGGCUGUUUGGAGGAAGUCGCGCUGCGUCAUCUUGGAGCUGAAGAUGGAAAUACUGUGAUUGCUAAAAAUAUAAGGUUUGAAGGAAGACUUAUAUUGACUUUAUGUUUCAUAACCUGUCACCCUUUUUAAAUUGCUUCCUUAUCAUGUUACAUUUUAUUCAAUAAAUUUACAAAAAAAUUGUACUUGCAGGCUUUCAGAUUUCCUUAGUAGCUUGCAAUUAAGUUGAAUCGGGCUGUUCACUCAUUCCUAUGUAAGUUUGACCUUAUGACUUUCUCUUUCUCUGAUACUGAUUUUAAGUGUGCAUGCAUAGACAGUCACACAUUUAACAUGCCUAGAAACGUUUAUGCAUCAUGCGUCAUUAACAAAAAAUAUUCAAGUUGCUUCAACCCUGUCUUCACAUAUGCAGGUAUCCAACAAUAUCAAGAUAUUUAUAUUUUCAGCUUGUAAAAGGUCUUCAAUUUCCUGUAUGGAACUCUAGUUGUUUGUGAGGUAAAAGGCCAUUGUCUUAUAAUUAUGCUAUUCUACUCUGCAGUUUACUUUCCUGUGGUGAUGUGGUCUUGCAUUGCAUGGAAUUUCCUAUGGACUUUAUGCAUCUUUUGAUGUGUGGGAUAUAGUUGGGUUGAUAGAUAAUCUGUGUUGCAGUAGUUCUGUAUAGUUUUGUGCACAUGAAAAUCAUUUUUAACCAAUGCAUAGAAGUGGACAAAAUUAAAAAUGGGGUUGAUAGAUGCACCCAUUGAGUUGCUCACAGUUUAAUUGGCAGUUUAGGCAUUAUUUUUUGGUCAUUUAACAUUUGCCUACUUGUGUCUAAUAGAGCCGAAUGACUAUAAAAAUUCAUAUACCCUCACAUUUGGAAUAAAAAAUUUCGCAAGAAUUCAAUUCAAUUCAAAUGAUUUCUUUUUCUAACAAUUCUCUCGUUUGGAAUUUAACUUGAAAAUUUUUUCAUUUUAAAUAAAGUUGAAAAUUUGUAUAAUUUUGCAAGAAUUCAUGUGUAUCUUUUGCUUGUGAAAUGAAUUUUAAAAGAAUGGAUAGUGAUUAGUCAUAAUGAGUCUCAUGUUCCUUCAUUGAAUUUAUACUGUAGCAUUGUUUACAAAACUGCAGGAUUGCUUGCUAGAGGAGACUUAAUUAUGGGAAGCUGGAAGGUGUGUAAUAAUUAUGUUAAAAUGAAAUAAUAGUGUGAAGAAAGCGUCAGCCUCAUGCAAAAGAAGUACAUUUAGUGAUAAGUUAUGAACUUGCCGAUGAAUAUGAAUUUGAAGAAUGGAUGAUGUUUGCUAUAAUACAGCUUUGCUUCCCUCACAGAGGAAAGGGCAGUGAACUAUGUUUAGCUAUUGGAUUUUUUUUUAGCCUUAUCAUCCUCAAUAUUAUGAGGUAUAAAAUAGGUGUCAUAAUUUCUGGAAACUUGAUUAUCAGGACAGGCAUCUCAUACUGAAUUAGUUCUUCCUCGGUAAAGCUGCAUUGUUUACAAGUGGCUUGUAUAAUGAUUUUGACAUUGAAGUAUAUAAAUGAGAUUUUUGUAGAAUUGUACUUCAAAUAAUCCUACACUUGAAACUUUGUGUUGAUAGUUACAAAUGGAUUUUUUUUUUUUUUUNNNNNNNNNNNNNNNNNNNNNNNNNNNNNNNNNNNNNNNNNNNNNNNNNNNNNNNNNNNNNNNNNNNNNNNNNNNNNNNNNNNNNNNNNNNNNNNNNNNNNNNNNNNNNNNNNNNNNNNNNNNNNNNNNNNNNNNNNNNNNNNNNNNNNNNNNNNNNNNNNNNNNNNNNNNNNNNNNNNNNNNNNNNNNNNNNNNNNNNNNNNNNNNNNNNNNNNNNNNNNNNNNNNNNNNNNNNNNNNNNNNNNNNNNNNNNNNNNNNNNNNNNNNNNNNNNNNNNNNNNNNNNNNNNNNNNNNNNNNNNNNNNNNNNNNNNNNNNNNNNNNNNNNNNNNNNNNNNNNNNNNNNNNNNNNNNNNNNNNNNNNNNNNNNNNUUUUAAUUUUCUUCUCUUGAUACCCAAAUUCAAACCGAAUAAAUUUUCACUUUGUUAUAAUCCAUUUUAAAAUGUUAACCACGUGCGUACGUGGAAAACGCUUAUCUAUGUACCACAUAUUUAUAUGUAUAUAAAAGCAAAUAGCAAAUUACGAAUAUGUAUUUAUAAAUGCACCGACUAUAUUAUAUGAUAUGAUAUUUUUAGAUUGAUUGGUAUAUUCUUUGGAGUGCACCAAAUGAGAGAGCAUGCCAAAGCAUUUGGCAAUUUCCUGGAAAUUUCUUCAUCUAAUUUGAUUGGCUGUUCUUUGUGGCUUAGGUUGGUUUAUGCAUGCUCUUCACCUACUCUCAUAACUCAUGCAUCAUCACCUCAUACUUCAAUCUAUUCAUAAUAAUAAUUAAGCACACAUUUCAAGUUUUUAUCUUGUACUCUAAUAAACACUGCAUCACCUCUUCUAUAAUCUAUACUUAUAAGAUCAUAUAAUAAAAUGAAAAUUUAUUUUUCAGUCCUUAUAUCUUGAGAAAAUUCAUAAAUCAGUCUUUCGAUUUUAAAAAAUAUAUUAAAACGUUUUUAAGAUUUUAAAAAAAUCUAUUCAUUCCAUUAGUUUUAUUUGUUAAGUGUUUUACCAUUUAGUUCAUAUAAUUUAUAAAAAAAAACUCAUUAGUUGAUCGCUUAUAUUUAUAAAAAAUCUACUAUUUAUUCUUUCGAUAUUAAAAAUGUCUUUAAACUUUUUUAUAAUAUUUAAUAAAGAGACUAAUUAGUAAAAUUUUUAAAACGUUAAAAAUAUUUUAAUGUAUUUUUUAAAAUUAAGAGAUUAACUAAUGAGUUUUGCUAUACUACAGGGAUCAAAUAGUAAUUUUUUGAACAGAAAGUAAGAAAAAUCUUCCUCUAGCUCCUUUAGCAGACAGGUAUAUAUUGCCUUUUCCUUGACAGUUGCUUUGCAUGAAUUACAAGAUCCAGUUUGAUGGGUUCCCAAUGAAGCAAGAGUAUGUCAACUUCUGAUUCUGUGUUAGGGAAAUAAUUAUUUGAUUUAUAAUUGUGAUUAAUCAUCAUGAUCUUUGUAAUAAUCUGUGUUAGUUUAGCAAUUUACUUUGGUUUCAUGUGUGCAUUUUUUCUGGUUUCAACCAAAUUCAUGUUCGUAGUUCUAUGUGUAUUUGGUCCAAGGUUGUUUAGAGUUGUGGUCUUGUUUUGUUGUGUUCUGUUUUCCUUCUCCUUCUUCCUUGGCCAAACCAUGGAUAAAUCCAAACUCUCCAUUUUCCCAUGAUCAAAAGAAGUCUCCAAGCUAGCAAGAGGCCAAGGGUGCGAGAUUUUCCAGGAAAAACAAAAUUCUCGUUCAGGGAAACAAGGUUGCUCAUUUGCAGAGGAGGAGAAUGGCAAAAAUGAGAAAUUUGUAUAUAUAUAUAUAAUGUAAAACUUGUUUCUUCUUUGUGUGUAUUAAUCACGCAGUGUUUCUACUGCAUGCAACUAAAUCUAUACUCAGAUCAAGCCUCCCGAUAAUGGCGACUGGAGAAUUCAAACAUCUAACCUUACAGACAAAGAUUUUCAUAAACUCACGAUCAUUCCAACUAAAUUAAUUUCGUUUAGACAUUAUUUGCAAUGUUUUUUUUAUAAGUAAAAGAAAAUUAAAUUUUAUUAAUAGAAUUUAAUUUAUUUCAUUUCUAUUCCUGAAAAAAAUUCAUUUAUUAUAUUGCAAAUGAUAAAAUCCAAUUGAAUUCUUUUAUUUAAAUGAAUUAAUAAUAAAUUUAAAUUGAUUUAUUUUCUUUAUUAUUAUUAUUUUUAAAUUAAACAUAAAUAUUUAUACUUAUAAAUAACAAUUAUUUUAUUACAUUAAAGUUUUUUUUAAAAUGAAUUAUUAAUAUUUUUAACAAUAUUUAGAAUUUAAACAUUACAUAAUUUUUUACUAUUACAAAAAUGUAAAUUAAGAUGGAUUUUUUUUUUCAAAAAUUAACAAAACAAUAUAAUGAUUUUAUUAUUAUCAAUCAUAAAUGCAUUACAUUUAAUACUCAAUACAAAUUCAAUUCAAUUCAAUUCUCUGAAAAAAAUAUAUAUAAUUAUUAAUUAAAAAUACAUAAGCAAAUUUACAGUUAAAAUAAAUAAAAAAAAGCAAAUGAUGAAGGAAAAUAAAAAAAAAAGUUUUCUCAAGAGAUUUAAGUAAUUUUAAGUAAAAUAAUUUCUUAUAAAAUCUGAAUAAUUUUAUAAGGUUUGUUUUUCUCAUAAUAAUUUAAAAAAUAAAAUCUUUACGUUAUUAAUUUUACUAAAUAUAGAAAUUUUUAAAAAAAUUCAAUUCAUUAAAAAACCUCUUAUUUGUUUUCUAUUAUUUUUAUAUGUACUAUAAACAACAAUUACAUAGACAAAAAUAGCAAUAAAUAAAUACAAGAAGGCCACACAAUUCCAACUCAGUACCUCAUCAAAAGCAAAAAUACAAAAGAACCCAAUAAAGAGUAAAAAGAUUUAAGCCCAUUUAAUGCUUGAGGAAAGCAACCAAACACAAUAACAAUGAAGAGCAAAUCAUAGCCCCAGAAAUGCCCACAGAAUAAGCAGCUCCUUUAUCCAUGGCUGGUGCUGGCGCUGGUGCAAAUUCUUGAGCAUCAACACUAGCAAACAACAUUGCCACAACCAAAAUGGCAGAAACCAAGGCCUUGAAUGAGCUCAUUUGUGCCAUGAAGACAGAAGGAUUUCUAAAAGGAUUUGAAAAUAUUUGUUAAAUAAGAGAUUUGAUGAAAUGGGUUGAGUUUUUGAAGAGUAUUUAUAGGGACCCAAAAAGAAAAAAAGAUGGAAACUUUGAACAGCUGUGGGCAUAUGCUGACAGGUGAGAACAGGUUGAAGCCAGGAAGUGAAAUGGAACUUUCAUCAUAUAGUUGGCAGGCACAUGGGUUUGUGACUUUGUGUUGUGUUGUGUUUUUUGAGCUUCUUCCAUGUUAAGGAUCUUUAACUUGUAGUGAAAGUUCUGAAAAGUGGGAAUUUAAAAAUCAAGCCUUUGGUGUUUUUCUUUGAAAAGUUCAAUCUUUAAUUAACAAUCUUAAAAAUCUAAUUAUUGGUCUUGAGUUCAAAUUUGGCAACC